rnacentral:lncRNA from 1 species
UCCUUUAGUUUGAAUAUAAUGCAGCUUAAUAAGGGUUUCUUCGGCUCCCAUGAAAACGUAUGAUGUGCCUUUUUUUUUUUUCGUCUGAAAGAUUAUAUAUCACGGGUGAAAUACGUUGUCGGAAUACAAAGGCCGGCGGGAAUUUAACCCCCAGAAACUAAGCCGGCGGGACUCUAACCCCCAGAAACUGAGCCCCAAACACGGGGAGACAAACAAAAGAGAAAAACUAAAACUGAAAAUAUCUAAACAUGAUUAAAAUGAUUUAACACAGAGAUACAAAUUCCUUAUUAUCCGAGCCAAUCGAAAUCGCAAAACUAGCUGGAAGUCGACGAAGGAGCUGACCACCACCCAGAAAGUCUCCUAUCUACAAGCCUCACUUGUUAAUUAAGAGUAUUCGGAAGAAAAACCUUGGGAUACCUUGGAUGGCGGGACGGUGGAACCUUGGCCAAACUUGCAAAGACCGUCGGAAUCGCCGGGCCGGGAAUGUCAACUAAUGGACGUGAACCGGUAUAAGGACCCAAACCUAGGCGGAUCUCGCCCUAGAUCCGUUUGUUGAAGCUGUGUGAGAAAACCUGAGAAUUAGGUCGCCCAAACCGAAUCACCACCACACCGACAGUGGGUGGCUUAGAGCCAUCGCGGUUAGGGCCAGGGAGAACUCUGGCAAAUAAGAAAUAAGAACCUGCAAUAAAAACCAAGCAACCAAACCCUAGAUCUGAAAAGAGAGAAAUCUGAGAAGGAAACGAAAAACGAAACCAAUCCCCAGAUCUCUCCACACACAAACCCAGAACUAGUUAACUAAACAAAAGCUGAAAAGCCAACCGACGCCGUGGCCAUGGUGGCCCACACGCGCCGGUCGGAGACACAAAACCAGCGGCGAGUUUGUUGAAGAGAGAAGGGUGUUGUUGUACUCUUAAUAUCCAAAAUUUAUGUGAUUUUGACCCGACGUAUGAUGUGCUUUAGUCCAAAACUUUUCAAACAAAAACCAAAAAAGAUAAAAUUAUAGAAUGACUUUUUCUAGAACCGGACGGUGGUCGGUCCAACCUUCCCACCUUUCCAAUAUUAAGAUUAAAAAGAUUAUUUACAUAAACUUCUUUUUUAAUUCAAUUAAACUAUUAAUCCAUGCUAACUAUUUUUUUUAUCCAUGCAAAUCUUGUUUUUGUAAAAAAAAUGUAAAAUCUAUAUUAUUAAUUGGGAAUCACUAAAUAUUAAGUAAUCUUAUGAAGAGUAAAAUAUUACAAAAAAUGUCAUUGGUUUUUAGUAUUUUUAAAUAACUUCAUUAAGGGUACAAUAGUAAUCACAAAAUUAAUAUAUUUAAUUAAAAAUAGUUUAACUCUUUUAAAUAAUUAUUAAUUUCCAAAAAAACACUAAUUUUCUCUCUUUUAUUAAUUAUAAACGAAAAUUUGAAAUUAAUUUUUAAAAAAUUGUUAACCAAUAAGAAUUGAAAAACUAAGAUUUGAUAUCCAACUAAGAUUUUAUCUAAACCAAUCGUAAUAGAAUAUUCUAUAUCAAAAAUAAAAAGAAAAAUAAUAUCAUUUUAAUUCAAAAUUAAAAACACUAUCGUUUAAAAGAUUUAUCAAUGGAAGACUUUAAGAUUAAAUUUAAAAUUAAAUACAAAUAUUUUAAGAUUCAGUUUUGUUCUAAUAUUUUCACAAAUUUUAAAAUAUAAAACAAAAUUUUAUUUCACAAUUUCUAAAAUACGAUAUUAGAUAUUAACAACUAUUUAUAUUUAUGAUGAAAUAAACUCAAAUAAUAAUAAAUUUAAAGUAAUUAUCAUUAUAACCUUCGUUUAGAGCAAGUUUGAUAAAUAUCUAUCAAUAGAUUGUAUAUAUUAAUUUCUAAAUUAUUUUGCGUUUUAUUUUUUGUUUUUCAACCGGAUCUUCCUUAAAUAAAUCCCUAAUAUAUUGCACACAGUUUUCAAAUAAUGUAAACUAAUUAUAUAUUUUGAAUUCAAAACAAAUUAUGAAGCAAUAGCAUAUCCCUUUUAGAGAUGUAUCUCAAAUUUUUAUUUUUAGUCCAAAAAUCAAAUUAAUUAUGAUUAAACAAUAAAAAGAAAAAUAUGCAAAAUUUAGCUAAGAAAAUAAAUAUUAAUAAAUUUUUUAAAAUAUAUUUGUAACUUUAGCAGCAUUUAUAUUAAUCUGUAAAACUCACAGUAUGUAUUGUAUGAUAUUUAAAAGUAAGCAAACAAGAAUUUGGAAAAUAAUUUUAAUGGAAUGAAAUGAGAAUAGGAAUUACGAGACGGGAUGAGAGGAAAACAUAAAUUAAAAAUCAAACUAAAUACCCAAUUGGUAUGAGUUCAGGUUAUGAGCACUAUAUAAAAUAAAUUUGUUUACAUACAUAACCUUGUACGUACAUUUUCAGUUACACAUAUUCUAUUUAUGCCGGAUACUGGACCAUCAUAUUUUUAUUUCACGUAUACGAGACGGUUUAUGGGACCAAGAAUUUAUGACAGAUACAUGACGGGAUAGGUUUCCCGUUCUAAAAUAGUUCCUAGCUAAUAUACAUGAAAUAACCAAACUCAAACCGAAUCUAAAUCCUAUUUAACACAUGUAAUCAAACUAUUAGAAAUGUUUUGAUUAGUUUAGAAAAUAAAAAAGUAACAUCAUUUAACUUUUGCAACUAAAUUAUAUCUUAAUUUUAUCUUAAAUAUAAUUAUGCACGUACGUGUAGGUCCGGAUCUUAAAAUAUAACUAUGCACUAACGCAACUGAAUUUCGUUCAUUACUCUAAUUUUAUAAUAUUUAUACUAUUAUAAAGUUCACUAACACAACAAAAUAUUUUAUAUUUUUAAAACAUCUCUGCACGUACGUGUGAAUCCAUAUCUAAUACACUAAAAUAUAUAUCAUAGAAACAACGAAUAAUCUAUAUUAAAUUAAAAUUUGUUAGAACUUUUUUAAGAAUAUGAAACCCCGCACGUAUAUGUGCGGGUCAUGAUCUAGUCUAUACUAUUAAUUGGGAAUCACUAGAUAAUAAAAAACCUUUAAGUUGUAGAAUAUUACAUAGAAUGCUAUUGAUUUUUUUUUCAAUUUGAAAAAAGAAAAAAACAAUUGAAAAAAUCGAAAUUAAAAUUAAUAAAUUAAUAACUGCCUAAUAUUUUUGGAGAUUGUUUAAAGAAGAUUCCAUAAUAAAUCAAGCUAUUUAAUUGAAAAAAAAAAAUAUAUAUAUAUAUAUAUGUAAACUUAUUUAUUUUGGUAAUAUAUUAUUAGAUAUUUCUGGAAACGACAAUCUAAUUUAAUAACAAAUUUUUAUUUAGUUUAUAUUUUAAAAGAUUUUCUUAACAAAACUAUGCUAAUUAAUUCUGAUUAAAUCACAUGAAAAAUAAAAGAUUUCAAAUUUUAUUUUCCAAAUAUAAAAAAAAACAUUUAGUAUAUUUAUCAUAUAUAAUCUAAACUAAAUACUUUCAUCCUUUUAAAUAUAGCACAUUCAACAAAUAAGUUUUGGAUUUUAGAUAUGUAAAUAUCUAGAAAAUAUUUGCAGUAUACAUUAAAAUAUUUUUUUUAAAAACGGGUAGUUUUCAAUAUUUUAAAUAUAUAUUACUAAACUAAAUUUGAAUUAUAUAAAAGAAAAUAUAUUUUUGAAAUGUAUUAUAUUAGUUACUAUAUCUCCAAAUAAGUUAAUAUAUUUCUUACCAAAAAAAAAAAGUUUAAUAUAUUUCAAAUCAAAUAAAUUAUUUUAUUUCGUAUCAAAUUGUUACAAGCUUUUGGAAUAUACAUUCUUCUAAAUUUGAUUAUUUUCUUUUUCAAAAAAUAUUAAAAUAUAAUUUAAAUAUCAUUAUGCAUACAUCCACGUUGAUUAUCUCAUAGUUAAUCUAGAAAAUCGAUUAUUUAAACAAUAGAUGGAGAUCUAAAAGUAAAUUACUUCAUGUUCUUAUGAUGUUUAUCUCCUAAUUUUACUAACCUCCUAUGCAUAUCUUUAUGGUUUUUGGUUUUAGGGUCAACACUAGAUCACAAGUCGCUUAUUGAUCCAUUCACAAAGAAAAUAUAUUUCAUAAACGUUAUCAUAUAUUUAAUUUUGUAUCUGUUAAACACAUUUUAAUCUCUCUUUUUUAUUGUCUAUUGGCCAAAGCAAGAGAUUUGAUUGUAAGGAAUUCAAGACAUAAAACUGACUUCGUAUGGAUGUUUAUCAUGUUUGGUGCUAUAAAUAUUAUAUUCAUUCAUUUACGGUUCUUCUUAUUUUCUUAUCAUGUUUGAUUCUAAACACUUUUUAUAGAAGUUAUCUUUAUUUAUGUUCCUCAGUUAAGUAUUUAAAUUAUACUGUAUUGAGUUUUCUUUUUCAGGUUCAACAUUUGAUACAGUAGAUUAUAAUUUAUAUACUACAAUAUAUAUCAACAAAAUAAUCUAUAUUUACUAAAACUUUAUUACAAUACAUUUCUUAAAAUACGAAAUCCGUCAUGAUCUAGUUUAUUUAAAAAAAAAAAAACUGUGUUACGCAAACCAAACAUCCAAACAAGUACAACCAUCAUAUUUUCUAUCCCUAUCUCGCGGAUGGAGGAUACACGGUUUUCGAACCAAUUUGUCUAGAUUUUGAAUCAUUCGGGGUGGUGGAGUCGGUGAUUCUCCAUGCCUUGUACAGUUUUUUUUCCUCCAAAUCCAUGCAAAUCUUUGAUACGUGGCAAAACAUAAAUUUGACAAAAUCAAUCGCUGAGCUCGACAAAUCAUAUAAUCUGGAUUCUAAAACCAAAGGCAUCUUAAUUUUGUUUCAAUGGAGGUGUGGCUACGGACAAGGUCCUACGGAUAGUUACGUCCGUUUUGUUUGCUAACGUAAAAAGAGCGACGCGGAGGAACGAAGUAAGUAAAUGCAGAAUAUGAGUAAAGGAAAGAAUCGAACAUUAUAAAAGUUUGAAUGCGAAUAAAUUAGUAUCAUCCACUUAUCACCAGAUUAAAAAAAAAAAAAAAAAAUCUGUUAUAUAUAUAUUCUUCUUCUAGUGGAUCAUACAUAUGUAACCAAUCUUUCUAUACUUUCCCGGUCACAAUUUGGAAUCACCUUUUGUUAGAUAGUCCAAAACUUGAAUAUCAACCUUUCACUUGAGAUGAUUCCAAGAGAAUCACUUUUAUUUACACUAAUACAAAAUUUCAAAUUCCAACAAAUAACAAAAAUUCAAAUAAAACGAACUUGUUUACCCAUAGGUUAUAUAAGUUACUUAUGACACAAAAUUUAUAGUGCUCAUAUAAGAGAGAUGUGAUACAUGGACAUUCAGAGAAUCAGAGUCCGAGUCCACAUUUAAACCGGAACCAAACCAAACUAAACCGGAAACUGAAUAGCUAGUCACUCGUAGGGAUCAGUUAUGCAAAAAAAAAAAAACAAAGGCAGCUUUUGGUUUUGCAAAAGCUAAGUUGCGUCAGGCAAGACAAGGCAAGGCAAAGUCAGAGAGAGUACAAUGUCGCAUGUGAAACCUUUGUGUCCUGUCUCUUUCACUACCCACUAAUUCUAGUAUUUCAGAAACAAUAAGACAACAACACUGUAAAAAUUUUAAGGAAAAUAACUCAGUUGAGUAAAUCAGUGAACUUCUCUGUUUGCUGCUUGUAUCUUCUUUACCUAUUCAACACAAAGAUUCAAAGUUACUUUCAUUUGUUUUCUAAGAGAGUUAUGAUGAUGCCAGUGGAAUCUGUCAGUGAUUGCUUCUCCACACAACACACUGUAAGAAAAAAAAAAAGGUAAACUGAGAGACUUACCUUUCAUGGUGAAAACAAGUAAAAGAUAAAAGAUAAACAUUAGAACUCACAACAAAUCUCUGUCUUAAAAAUGGUUCCAGAUAUCAAGACUUUAAAUUAAAGUAAGUGAUCUCAUUUGUUCUAUCUCCAUCUUUCAAUCUGUUAUACCUCCACUUUCACAGAGAAUCUUUAUAUAAGCAAUGGUGAUAAAAGCUAACUCAAGAAAGAAAUCAAAAGGGUUAGAUCGUAUAUAAGCAUCUACUCUAUUCGUUUGUUUGUCCUGGUCCAUACACAUGAUAAUAUCCAUGUCUAAAAAAAUAAAGAUCAGAUCCUAAGAUUAUGGUAAAUGCAUUUCCAAUAAGUGUCUAGCAAAAAAAGACUCAAGGUUUGCAAGAAAACGAAUUCAAUAGUCACAUCAAUUUAUUAGGAAGACGUUUGUUUUGUUCCUAAAGAACAAAAAGAUUGUUAUGAGUUAAGCCCAUGUGUAAAUUAUGGACCUUGAUGUACUAUUGCACACAGUGGCAGGCCAAUAAAGACUUAUAAGGCAAUCAUUGAUAUCUUGAAGAGAAAAAAUAUCUUACAUUUGAAACAAAAUUUCAGAUUGGAACUUUAACACUAAACUGGAAAAACUUAUCUUUAGUUUUCAUAUUUCUAUCAACUAUAUAUUAAAUCUAAGAUUAAACAAACAAAUGAAAAUGUUAAUAACACAAGUUUCUCUAAUGCCUAUCUAUAUAUCUAAUUUUCUUUCUUUCUAACUUUUUAUUUUUUAUUUUAUUUUCUGAGCUAGCACAUCAACGUAAUCAUGCACUUAUUCCACCAGAGAAACGUACAAGAGCACAGUGGUCCAUCUCCCUACUUUACUUCACCUUUUAAACUCUUCAAAAAUCUUCAAUAUCACCAAGUCCCAUUCCUCAACCAUUGCUUAACCUAUUAGAGUUUCUUUUCUCCAACAAACCAUCUUUUCAAGACUCCAACUUCAAGCUUUCUUUAACUCAAAAAAUGGAGGGUAAAAGAACACAAGGACAAGGGUACUUGAAAAAAAAGUCUUACCGUGUGGAAGAAGAAAUGGAGUAUGAUACGGAUGGAGAAGAGGAAGUUGGUAGGGAAGAAGAGAGGAGGAAAGGAGUGAUGGAUAGAGUUAGAGGGUCUAGUGGCAGCAUCGAUCGUGGUGGCUCGUCGCGGCUUUGCCAAGUAGAUAGAUGCACAUCUGAUAUGAAGGAGGCAAAACUGUAUCACCGGAGACACAAAGUGUGUGAAGUUCAUGCAAAGGCAUCUUCUGUCUUUCUCUCAGGACUUAACCAACGCUUUUGUCAACAAUGCAGCAGGUAACGUACAACAUAAUAUGUCCUUAACUAAACUUUUUUCUGGAUCUUUGAAUGGUGAUUUUGAGUUUUUGAAACAGGUUUCAUGAGCUCCAAGAGUUUGAUGAAGCAAAAAGAAGUUGUCGUAGGCGCUUAGCUGGACACAAUGAAAGAAGAAGGAAGAGCUCUGGUGAGAGUAGUUUUGGAGAAGGAUCAGGUCGGAGAGGAAUCACUGGUCAGGUGAUCCAGAAUCAAGAAAGAUCAAGGGUAGAGAUGACACUUCCUAUGCCAAACUCAUCAUUCAAGCGACCACAGAUUAGAUAGAGAAGCUGUCUGCUCUCUCUCUUCUGUCAUCUAAAUUUCUCUCUUAGAAUAUCUGAAAUUGUGGUAUCUAACAAUGUCGAAAUCAGCUGAGUCAUAUAUAGUAUUGACUCCUAGUAUAGAGAAAUAAAUCACUGCCACCACUCUCUAGUACUCUCCUAUGUUAUCACUUAUAUGCAAAUGCUAAGACUCUACUUGAACCUUGAAUGUAUUUUUCAAAGAUAUGGUUAAUGAUUUGUGUAAUACUUCUGCCUUGUCGAUGUGUGAAUGCUAAUUGGUAAAGGUUUUCAAUACAGAUACGAGCAAGGAGUGUGUCUUAUCCAGAAACACAGGGGACUACUAAGUACUAACCGAAAGCCACGGUCACUUUGAAGUUUGAGAACCACAAAUUAAAUGAGAUACUUUGCUGAAGAUUUCAUAUCUUUUAUACACCGUCAAUCGAGUUGACGGGUACUUGGUUUGACGUACACUACAAGUAGUAUAGAAUACAAGAUUUGAAUAAUCAACGACCAUUAUCAGUAAAUUGUUGAGUAGAUUAUAGUAGAAGCAAACCUUCCAGGGUCCAUUACUUGCUAUGAUGAGAAACUUUGCGUCAUCAAUAAUUAUUUUAUGCCAAAUUAAUGCAUCCUUAUAGAUGUUUUCAAACAAAUUGGAGCACAAGUAAUUGGAUAAUGAAUGUAGCAAACAGACUAUAAAGUGAAUAUGAAAACGACCUAAUCCUCCAUCUCUAACAAGUUUAUACAUUUAAGUGAAAGUUUUUAAAAGAGUUGUCGCUAUACGUUCUUUGAAAUCCAGAUUCACCCUCAAGCUACUACUGCAAAAUUUUAAUAACUACUCUUAAAGAAACAUCAUGUUAAACCUAAGAUCUUAUCAAAUGAACUGAUUCUCGUGAACUAAUAGGAACAAAAAAAAAAUACAAAGAUCGAAACAAAAAAAAAAGCGAAAGGCGUUGAUUCAAGUAGUAACAAGUCGAUGAAGUACGAGUGAUUUAGAUUUUGACGGAUUUAGGGUUUAGAGAUCAAAACGCUAAUAAUUUUAGCCAAAUCCGAAAAUGCAACAAAGGAUGUCCAAGCCUUUGUGGUCUAGUGGCAGAUGAAGCUUUGGUGAAGGGUGAAACUCCCAGACCCGAGUUCGAUUCUCCCUGGAAACAAAAACACAUUUGUUUGGAAAGUCUGUCAGUUGGGCUUUGGCCCAAUUGGUUUACCUGGUAGUCAGAAAUGCAGGCGGCCUGACUACCCCCUGGCAUUAGUCGGAAGGCAUUCCAAACUCGGAUCAUGCAGUGUGGUGGCCCAAUUCUACCUGGAUCAGGAGAAGUCCACUCGGUAGCACCUCGGUGCGUUCUUACCGAGGCUGACCGGAUCAGCCGAUAGGGUUUAUAAAAAAAAAUGCAACAAAUGAUAGAGAGAGAGAAACGACUCAACGAGACUAUAUCCUAACUGGCCCAAUUAGAGCCCAAAACUAUGGUGGGCUUACCUCAUUAAGAUAUCGAUAUGAUUCUAAACCUUUUUUUUUUUUUUUGCUUAUGCUAAAUUGCUAAUAUAAAGUUUUAUUCGUUUUAUUGUUGACAACAACGAGUCAACGACCAGCAAUUAGCAAUUUAGCUAUAUCUUUAUUAUUCGUUUUGUUUAAUAUAAUAAUCAACAAUUAUGGUUUUUGUAUUGGUUUAGCGAUUAGCGGACCAUAACUUUCAAUCAUUAACAAUUUUUUUAGCUUUUUAAAUUUUAACUAAAAACAGUUUAAUGUUGCUGAUGACUACAAAACGAAUAUGAUUUAGUCGUUGUAAUAUGUUGUUGCUGCAGAUACGUACGACUACAAAACAAACAAAAUUUGAUAUCUAUUUUUGCUAUCGAUGUUGCUUAUAAGUUUAUAACUACCAAACGAACAUCGCAUAAUUGAUCUUCUUUAUCAAAAAAAAAAAAAAAACAUCGCAUAAUUCUCUCGUUCUUUUCCAGAAACAUAUAAUAACACUAUAUAAACUGCAAGAUUACAUGUCUUGGUCAUGUUAUCGUAACUUUAAUAAACGUAAAACGUGUAUUGGCGUAACUACACAACCAGCUUCUUCCAAUUACCGAGUCAUAAUUACGUUAGGUUCAUUAAACGUUAAGCAAAAUGGACGAGUCUACAAUGAAAAAAGAAAGUAAAAGAUUAUUAAGCAUGGGUGUUAAUGAUAAUUGGUGGUCCUAGCUAAUCCCUAGAGAAUGGGCCAGUGAUGUGUCCUAAAGAAAGACCCGAAUUGGAGACAAAAAGCCACAUAAGGAGAUCUUUGUCUUGAAUUUUGCUUCGGUUAGAAGUGUACUUUCUUCUUCCUAUCGGCUGGAACAAACAUUAAGAUUGUGAAUGCAUAAUAAAUAUAGUUGCUGGUGCGUUUGUUACUAAGCUUUAGUAUAAUCAGUACGGUUAAUUGGAACAUUAUGGUCAAAGUAUUACUCCCUCCAAUUUCCAAACUACAUAUUUUAGAUUUUUAUUUUCUUUUACAAAGAUAUAGAUGCAUAAAUUAAAAUCAUAAAGACAAAAAUUAGCUAAAUUUUCGACUAGUUUUGUUGGAAGCUGAUGAUCAUGGUAGUUAUGAUUAGAAGUUUUGAUUUAUAAUUGUAAAAAAUUGUAUUGAAUAUUGAAAAUGUCUGUUGAGUAAGCACAAAGUCAUGAUCACGUAAUUAGAUCAAAUAACAGAGACAGAAAACAGACAGAGUCUUGAAAAGAGCUAGAGAUCGAGAAGAAUUGACUAUGACUAGUCUCUUGUGUUUAUUAUGGUUAAUCCAUAACUAGAAUUUCUCACCUAAUAAAGGAUUUGCUUCAAUGCGCCUUGAUUUUUUUUGUAAAAUAUGAUUCUUGAUAUUAUAGAUAUAAUGUGUUAUAUUCUUAUUUUUUGGUCAAAUCAUAUAAUGUAUUCAAAUUAAUAUAUUGAAAAAUAUAUAUUUGAUUUUGCUCGCAAGACCUGAAGUAAGAAUUUAUCUUCAUUUGUCAGCAUUUUUGUGACAUACAUAUUUGUUAGAUGUGUAUGUAGAUAACAUUUUAAGUAAAUCACUAAGUAAAUGUGUGUUUUUAUUAUAAGAGUAACUAAUGAAGUGUGUCUCAAACUCUCAAUCUAGACCACAACUAAAGUACUAAAUCUUAAUAUAUGCACUAUAUAUUCCAUUUGCAUAUGAUACCAGUUAGAUUACCAAUAGAUAAUUUGUUUACUCUUCUUUUAAGUAUCUUUUAUAUAUAGACUUCAUAAAGCCAUUGUUGCUUUCUGCUUAAAACUUUUAAGAGUAUUUUUGGGAGACCGUGUCCCUCACUACGAGAACCUCAAAGAGUAUGUGCCUCUGACUUGUGAGCUGUAGACUUCUAUAAAAAAAAUUCAUCAAACAACAAAUCUAAUCAAUAAAGUACUUAAAAAUCAAAUUAAUUUUGUAUAGUGUUAUCUAUAUAAUUUAUUAAAUUAUCUAGAUAAAUAUCUUGUUAUUAAAGAUCUAAUAUAGGCAACAUGUGGGAUCGUUUAGGGAUCCACAACACUUUAGACAAUAUCAUGACAUGAACACCAUAACCAUUACUACUUCACUUGGAUCUCAUUCUUCUUAUGCCCCCACAAAAAAGUCAAGCACUGAUCUGGCAAGUCUUUGACUGCCGUACCCAUUUCGCCACGUGUCCAACUUUAACUCUAUUCCUCCUAUAUAUAAACACAACUAAUAAACAGUUAAACACAUUCAUAUGGACACAAGUAACGUUUUGAAGAUGGAGGAUGACCAACAAAGUACCCCAAACUCCGGUGAGACCAAGCCGGAAACGUCCGUGGAGACAUCAUCACCAUCGGACUUUGAGUUUGGAUCAUUGACUCCCUCAUCUCCAUCACAAGACCCCUUCUCGGAAAAUUCUCCCGCCGAUCAUCUUUUUCUCAACGGCCGUCUAUUACCGCACUCUUUUCCGACGAGCACGACGACGACACGUUCAGUGUCACGUACGACCAGCGAUAACACUUUUCGGAGCAAUAGUUCGAGCAGCCGAAGCAGUUAUAGCAGCAGCCCGACAUCUUACACUCCAAGAACAAGCACUUGUAAUAUCUUCAAGAUCACGAGUUCUAGUACCGGACAUGUGAAAGAGACUAAUUUAACAUGUUUUGGUACUCGGUCCGAAGAGAUUAUGUGUCUGAGGCCCGUAACUUCUUUGAAGAAAACAAACACUUGCAGCAGCAAAGAAUACUAUAACAAGCCAUCGUUAAUAUUGGAUCUAAAGAAGAGACCACCGGUGAAAAAUGGUAAAGCCGUAAAUACUUCAACCACAAAUAAGGUUUCGUCUUUGCCGCAAUGCAAGAGGAAGAAGGCGACGGAGAUUGUGACAGCGCAGCUUUACGGGUCGUAUUCACGGCGGUGGCAGCAUAUAACUCCGGUCUUUAAAAGAGAAGGAUCGGUGAAAAGUAGAGGAGGAGGGAUUAAGGUCGGUGGACGGAAGAAGAAGACGACGAGGAGGAAGAAGCCAACGAAGGCGGAGGAGAGAAGAGGAAUGAGUAAGUUGAUGAAGUGGUGGAAGAGGAUUUUAAAGGCGGUGGUGUUUGCUUGCAGGGAGUGUCAUGCAAUGGAGCCUCAGAUACUUGUAAAUGAUGAUGCUGAUGUGAAAAAGAAAAUAACUAAAUGUCCAUAAUCAAAAAUUUCAAUGUUUUUCUAAUGUUUUCCAUGUUUUUUUUUUUUUGUCUUCUUCUAGUUUGUGUAAAGAAAUUUUACAAAUAUCUAUUAGAUCAACUUUUGGAAAAAAUUGAAUACAUAUUUAUUAUGAUUUUAGUCAAAAAUACUAGUUUUGGAUUUUUUUAUCAAGUGACUCGAAUAUUUUCCUCAUUUUUAGUUAAAUAAUUAUUUCAGAUCCGUGUUCAAAAAAUUGCUAGACGCUAGUCGGGCAGUGAGGGUGGGGCUAGCGCCUAGCAAGAAAAUCGGAGAUUAAAUGGAGAUUAAUCGAGAUUAGUUUUAGGGCUAUUUAAUGUUUGAAAAACAUAAUAUCGUUUUAAAAAUUACAUUAAACACAUUAAAACAAGAUUUUAAGCUCAAAAUUAUGAUUUUUUAUACAAAUUACGAAUAUAAGUGGGAUGUUUCGAAUUUUAGAUUAAAACAAAAAAAAUUGGGCUAUGCGCCGUCUAGGCGGCCGCCUAGCCCGCCUAGGCGAACAAAAAUCGGACCAGUGAUUUUUUUUUACCGAUUUGGACAAAAUCGCCGCGAUUCCCUUCCGACCAGUGCCUAGGCGGCCGAUUUUUAGAACAAGGCUUCAGAUUUUGUAAACAUAAGAAAAAUACACAACAACAAAAUUUGCACUAUUCACCAAAAAAAAAUAGCACUAAUCAAGGGAAAAUGGUCAUUUAAUUCCCCUACUAUUUGCAAUCGACACUUUUAUUCCCGAACUUUCGUGUGAACAAAUUAAUUCUUCAAUGUGUAGUUGACUUAACACUUUUGGACAAAGAAAUAGUCAACGUCAAUUAGUUAACAGCGACAUUAAAAGCUCGAUUAAAAACUUCAUCAGCUCAAAAAAUCCCCAAUUAUUCUUCUUCUUCCCCCCAAAUUGAAACCUAGGGUUCUUAGGCUAUUUUAAAAACGAUGAAUCCGGAAAUUGAGUUCGAUUGAGAGCGAUUCCCGACAUACAACUGAGAUUUCAUCUACCAUCUCCUGCGAUUUUGUUUUAGGAUUCAGUCGCAGUCUUUCUUCAUACAACUGAGAAAUAGUUCCGCUCUUCAACAGCUUUGUGUAACCAGAUCUUACACAAACAUGCUCAUUUCGGAAUGUUUUUAUUACAAGCUUGCUUUUACUCUUCUCAAAAGAACAAUACACCAUCCAUGGACACUUUUCUUCGAUGUGUUGUGUGCACUUUGCCCCAAGUCUAUCAGAUGAUGACUUAAACAUUUUGAUAUCAUAUUCGGUUUUAAGAGAAUACUUGAGUAGUGCCAGCCCCGGCUCUGAUGGGUAGGGCGGAAGUGCGACGGCCCGGAGCUUUUUUUUUUAUAAAAAAAUUUUACAUAUAAAAAGGCCCAAAUAUUUUUUAAAAAUAUUAUUAAUAUGAGAAUUAUAUUUUAAGAGGCCUAAUUAUUUAUAAGAAAAUGUAUAAAAAGGCCCAAAAUUUUUAAAAUAACAAUUUUUACUAUAAAAACUCCGCAAAAUUUUUAAAAAUUAAGUAAAUUUUCUCUUUGUAUAUAAUUAUAGGCCAAAAAAAUUUUUUUUGCCCUAAGGCUCUCAAAUAUAUUGAGCCGGGGCUGAGUAGUGCAUACUUGAAUUCAUCUACAUUGUUGAAUUUCUUAUGCAAUGCUAAUAGAUCAUCAAGUUGAACUCCAUCAGUGAAUGGUCUCUCAACUUCCUCUUGGUCAUCGUCGGAUAAUGGAUCAAGGAUCUUGUCGUCGUCCCAGAUGUCAUCUCCGCUGUCAUCAGAAUUUUCAUCAGUUGCUUCUUCACAUGCAUCAUGCCCAAAAUGGUCUUCUAAGUUGUUGCAGAUUUCAACAUCGAUGAGACCAUCAUCUUCUUCCUCUUCAUUUCAAGCCAAACAUGGUUGCACCUCUGUAUAUCCUCUGCUAUCUUCCACGAUAACUGGACAGUCAUCUUCAUCAACACUAGAAUCAUGAGAUUCGGCUCCUUCGUCUUCAACUUGGUCUCACUCCUCUGUGACUUCGGGUUCGAUUUGGGCAUCACGUUCGAUUCGAUUUUGAAGCUUCCUCUUUUUUUUAGUCAUGGUAAUAGCUUCGUGAUGUCGGGAAUCACUCUCAAUCGAACUCAAUUUCUGGGUUUUUAAAAUUGCCUAAGAACCCUAGGAUUCAAUUUGGGGGAAGAAGAAGAAUAAUUGGGGAUUUUUAGGGGUGAUGAGAUUUUUAAUCGAAGUUUUAACGUUGCUGUUAAUUAAUUGACGUUGACUAUUUUUUUUGUCCAAAAGUGUUAAGUCAACUACACAUUGAGAAAUUAAUUUGUUCACACGAAAAGUUUGGGAAUAAAAGUGUCAAUUGCAAAUAUUAGGAGAAUUAAAUGACCGUUUUCCCCACUAAUCAAUGCAUCUUUUCUGCUUGGGUUUAGUUAAUUUUAAACUAAAACGCUCAUCUUUGGGCUGGGCCUGUCUUAUGAACUCGGUAAGAUUGGGUCGGGUCGUGUAUCUUUAGCUGGAUAAGUUAGUCAAGUCGGGUCGGGUCGUUUAUUAUUUUUUUUAAGGCAAAAAACCAAAAAAUCAGAAGUAAAAAAACAAAAAUGAAAAAUUGAAUAAUCAAAAUCGAGAAAACUUCAUAAUCGAAGUUCUUCUUCUCGAUCUCUUGGUGCUCGAGAGAGAGAGCAUUGGAUAGAGAAUUUUCUUGGGAAAGUAACAGAAGAACGAAGACUAAGGAAGAAAAACUAAGAUCUGUAUAUAUAUUCGACGCGUCUUCUUCGUUCACCUAUAAGGUAAUCUGAAUGCGAUCCUGGAAAUUUCUCUGAUUUUUCACAUCGUAAUCGUUGAAAUUUUGGGACUUCUUUGCUUUUUUGAUUGAUCCAAUUGGAGAAAAUUCAAAUUACGUCUAUGUUGAAAUUUUUGCUAUCUUAUAGUGGAAAAAUUCAUUCUUUUGUUUCGUUGCUUGUAUCGAGUAAAGAGUAUAUAUGCAUUGUGAUAAUCAGAUUUUAGUUAUAGAUCUCAGUUUUGGGAAUUGGCUGUGUAGUAGUUGAAGGGUUGACUCAAUUUGGGGUAUUUUGAUUGCAAGUGAAAUUCUUCUGCUUGUAAUUGGCGAAUUUAUUGAUGCAGUCUAGUGUUUGCAGAGGGGAAAAAGGUGAUUUUUUUUCUUUCUUUGUUGUGGAAAUGGAUGAUGUUGCUGGUUUACAAGAGGCAGCUGGAACCAGAUUUAGCCAGUUUGAGUUAAUCGGAAGAGGAUCGUUUGGUGAUGUCUACAAAGCGUAAGUAUUUUCUUAAGAUUUUGCAGUUAUUAGCUUCUUUACUUUGAAAUAAUAGAGUGAUACUGAUAAAUGUGCUUUCAUCUGGAAUAUAGAAACUCAUGAAAGCAUUUUUUUUGGUUAUCACACAAUAAUACUGAUAUGUGAGCACUAAUCUGACCCACUAUGUUGACAUUUCUUGCUAGAAAGAAAUUGAGAGUUUGUUGAUAUCAAGUGGGAAAAAGCAGAAUUUUAUGGAAUAAAUAUUAUCCCAUUCCAGCCUUGAUCUAGGAGAGUCUGAUUUGCAUUAGUUUUCUAUCUUGUCCAAUAAGGACUAACUAAGAUUAGUUACGUCUACCCUAUUCAUGUGCUGAGCUGUUGCCUCUGAUUAUCAGGUUUGAUACGGUGCUUAACAAAGAUGUUGCCAUUAAAGUUAUUGAUUUGGAAGAAUCGUAAGUAUUUGUAUUUUUUUUUAUGUAUUUACAAAGGUAUUCUUUUAUAUGCUACUUGUUUGCGAUUCUUAAAGUCAGUAAUCUAUAUUUGAUUUCUCUAUAAAAUAGCUCUAGUUUCCGGCUGUAGUAUUCAUGUCUAAAGAAUACCACAAUGCUCAGUGCCCUUUUCUAACUAGUCCUUUUGCUUCAUAUGUGACAGAGAAGACGAGAUUGAAGAUAUACAGAAGGUAUCUCUUGGAUUGACCUUGAUUUUUUUGGUUAGUGUUAGUAUGCAGGAUUCUCGUGUUCACAUUUUGUUAUCAACCCCAGGAAAUUUCAGUAUUGUCACAAUGCCGUUGCCCAUAUAUUACCGAAUACUAUGGUUCUUACCUUCACCAAACCAAGUUAUGGAUCAUCAUGGAAUAUAUGGCUGGUGGCUCAGUUGCUGACCUUGUAUGUUAUUUCACUUCUUUUCUGAGUUGAGAUAUAAAAUUGUUUGUGUGAUGAUGCACACAUCUCUGUGGAUUUCUUAUUCUUUAAUUCUCGUUUGUGCAAAUUUUAAUCUAAUAAACUGUAUUGUGAGUGUAGCUUCAACCGGGUAAUCCAUUGGAUGAAAUUUCAAUUGCUUGUAUUACGCGCGACCUACUUCAUGCUGUUGAAUAUCUCCACGCUGAGGGAAAAAUCCACAGAGAUAUUAAAGGUUUUCUCUGCUAAUAUAUUUUAAUAUGUUAUGGCUUUUCUUGAUCCAACUGCGUGUUCUCAUCGCUUAUUGCAUGGCAAAUUUUUUCUUUCUAUUUUUGCAGCCGCUAAUAUUUUGUUGAGUGAGAAUGGUGAUGUUAAGGUAUUCUCUACUUCUUAAACUUAUUUGAUUAAUUUCUUAAAUUUUCUUUUUAUGUCCGAGUGGUUUAGUUGCGCAGCUGAUCUCGAACUUCUUUCACGCAUAUCAGGUUGCGGACUUUGGUGUUUCUGCACAAUUAACCCGGACAAUAUCAAGGAGAAAGGUGCUUAUCUUAUUAUACUAAUGAAUCUCCUGACUCUAUAUCGUGUUUCUUUCUUCGUCAUUUAUUGUGCUUACUGUUUUAGUAAUUUAGAAUGUUCUUAAAUAGGCCCACUCACUUUAUUACCCUUGUCGCUGUGGCUUUGUGCAGUUUCAGUUCCCAUGCACUACGUCACAUAAUUUUGUGCAUGCUUUUCCAUAGUCUAAUCAUUCCAAUGUUUGAACAUCUUAAGAAUUUCAUGUCAUAAGUUGUCCUAUGGAAGCUGAAGGAUAACUAUUUUUUUAUAUUAUGUUGAGUUCUCGCCUGUGAUGCUUUGAUGUUAUUAUACAACUAUUCCGACUGCAUUCGCUAAUAAUAUAAAAUGGGCAGACAUUUGUGGGAACACCAUUUUGGAUGGCACCAGAAGUGAUUCAGAACUCAGAAGGGUAUAAUGAGAAGGUAUCUCGUCCAUCUACCGUAGCUUCUUUUGUUCUUCUUGUUUACCCAAUCUUGUGUAUGCCCUGGCUUUACUUGUUUUGUAGCCCUUUCUAAUCUUGUCUGUUCUGAUUCUGGGUUGAUUUUUUUCAGGCAGAUAUAUGGUCUCUUGGAAUAACAAUGAUCGAGAUGGCAAAAGGAGAACCUCCACUUGCUGACCUUCAUCCUAUGAGAGUGCUUUUUAUCAUUCCCCGGGAAAGCCCUCCUCAGGUUUCAUCCUAAUACUGCCAUAUGUCUUGAUUGCAAAGCCGCCUUUCACGACCUAGACAUUUAACUUUUGUAUUUCCUCCGCAGUUAGAUGAGCAUUUUUCACGUCCUUUGAAGGAAUUUGUUUCGUUCUGCUUGAAAAAGGCUCCUGCUGAGGUACUUGUAGUGUGGUCUCUGAUCUUUAUUGUCAGCAGUAAAAUGCAAGAUCUCUCAUACAACUCUUUCUUAUACUUUCAGAGACCAAGUGCCAAAGAACUUCUCAAACAUAGAUUUAUAAAGAAUGCUAGGAAAAGCCCGAAACUACUUGAAAGAAUAAGGUGUGAUCUUUGUUCUUCCAACAGUGUUGGUUUGUGGUUAUAAUUUAUUUACUCCGCUUAUUUUAUUGUGUGACAAUAACUAUGCGGUUUGAUUUAUUGUUUCCUCAGUUGAUUCGUUUUUUCCGAUCUGCUAUAUGCCAAGCGAAAAUACAGAACAGGGUGAUUUCUAAUGCUGUUCUUUUUCUUUUGUUUGAAGAGAGCGGCCAAAAUACCAAGUAAAAGAGGACGAAGAGAUUCCAACAAACGGUCCAAAAUCUCCCGUGGAAUCUUCUGGGACUGUUAGAGUGGCUGGAGAUGAGAGGGGCCAGGGAACUUCUGGAACUAGGUGCGAUAAAUGGUCUACUCUUGGGAUUUCUUCUCUCUUUCUUGUUCGUCAAAAUCUUAAGAACUUGGAGCUACAGUUUUCAGGUAAAAACUGUCAGAAAUGCGGGGUGGGACUUUAGCUUUGGGGGUUCACAGGGUGCUGGAACUGUUCGAGCUUUAAAACCUCCACAAGCCAGGGAAAGGCGCCAAGAAGUUAGUUCUAAUCAGACUUCUCAAAAAACAUCACGAGCCAGUGGUAGUCAAUUGUCAUCCACUUUUGGUGUCCCUGAAAUCUCUGAAGGAGGUUUUAAUAAAAGAGAUUCUUAUCAGAAUGACAAUCAAGAAGAAGUAAGUUCCUUAGCCUCUUGUGUGCCUAGAUGCAGUCCCAUUCUUUCUUAUUAGCAGACAUUGCACGGGAAAUCCUCUUGAACUUCACAAAUAUAUCAUGAUCUGUUGUGUUUCAAGUUAACCAUUUUCAAUUUGAUUUAAGUUCCUUUCAUUUGGAGGAUUAUCACAUCUUCAGAAGGAUUAUUAAUAUAGAAUAAAAAGAACUGGAACGUGGUAGAUCAUACUUUUCUCAUCCUUGUCCUUCUGAAUUUUCAGGAUGAUUCAAGUGGUUCUGGAACUGUUGUCAUAAGAUCUCCGAGAAGCUCUCAGCCAUCUUCAAUGUAUCGUGAUCAAAGCUCUGGGGUAUUGGAAAUUCUUCCUCUCUUUUUUAUAACUUAUAAAGCAAGUCUGUGUGCUUUGCCUUAGUCCUGUCAUGCGGUUCCAAGAUGUCUAAUUCCAGUUCUGCCGUGUAGUCUGCCAACAGGUAUACGUCUUUUGAUGAUGCUUCUACAAGUGGAACAGUCGUUGUCCGUGGGCAGAAUGAUGAUUCUGGAUCACCUCGAACACCAAGAUCUAGACUAGGGCUUCAAGAAAGAAGUUCCAGUGCCUCAGAAGAUAGCAUCUCAAAUCUUGCAGAGGUUGUUUAAAACUUUAUCUUUUGAAGUUGUGUCUGAAAUUACAAGUUAUUCUACUGUGUUCUUAUUCAUUUCCGUUCUUCUUUCAGGCAAAAUUAGCACUUGAAGCAGGUUUCAGAAGAGGAAAUGCUAGGGAAAAACUUGGUAAUGGGAAGGUUAACAAAAGAAGAGAACAAGCAACAGAUAAUUCUGAUUACUUGAGGUUAGUGUGUCUAUGUAUACUAAGCUUCUGCUGGUCACAGGAUUUGUAUUGUUAUUUCUGACAUGAAAGCUGUUACCUUGCAGAAAUUCCCGUGAUCAUUCUGAUAAACAGAAACCAGUCAUAAGAUCACAACAAGUGAGUGAUGAUGAAGAUGACUCCAAAUUAGCAUCAUUGUCUGCAUCAUUGUCACUAUUGCUAUUACCAUCCCUAAAAGAGGUAAGCUCCUACUUAUGAUAUCUAUAAACUAUACUCACAUUUGGCAUCUUACUUCUCUCAGUGAGUUGGGAGUUGUCUUCAAUUUUGAGAUAAAAAAGUUUCGUUUUGAGUUAGAAGCUGCAAAUAAUGUAGGCUGUCGGGGGUGACGACUCAAAAGGAUCUGUUGGACAUAGAGUUUCGAGAUCCUUAGUGAACAUGGAACGCGAAAAGCCUGGUUCUUCUGAAGCUUUUAUUGCCAAACUGAUCGAACAGUUGGGAAGGUACGGGAAACUCUAAAAGAACAUAUACACACUUGUUGCAUACAGUAUAUAUCAGUCUGUUUUAUUGUCAAUACUUUGAUCUGAUGAACCUCGAAAAUCGUCAUACAGUACAAAGGAAGUGUCAGUGAAAGAAGUGCAAGACAUGGCGAUCCGUGUGUUCGCUAAGACAAUGAACAAAGAUGCAGAGAACAAAAGAAAGCAAGCUAGCAAAGAAUUUAGUUCCAAUGCAAACUUUAGUCCACUUGCAAGAUUCUUAUUCUCAAGGUUUGACUGAUGAUUAACAUUAAAUCUUUUCCUGAAACGAAAACAGAUUAAUAACUUCAAAUCUUUUCUUUUCUGUGUUUGCAGAUGGCUAGGUCAAACAUCGCGUGAUCUUAACCAAAGUUGAGACACGCACAGAAGACAGAACGUAAGAAUGUUGUUUGUGUGUCUUUUACAUUGAUUUGAUGCAUUGAAUUUUGGUAUUUAUGUGUAUAAAUUUUUCAUCAGAAAAAGGGUGUAUUUAUAAAUUUUAAGUUUCUUUUUCUUUUUUUAAUUGUCAUUUCCUUCCUAUUUCGGCUCUUUAGUUUUAUCUUUAUUUUCCCUUCCUGGUUUUUUCGAGGGGAAGCAUAUUUAUUCUUAGUUGUAUAAUUAAGGGCUUGCCUUUAUCUUGUGAUAAUAUGUAAUCACUCUUGCCAUUUCAUUCAUAAACCAGUACUCAUUAUCAUUAUUUUUGUUUCUCUUUCUUUAACUCUCUCUCUCAUAUAACAAAAGUCAUCAAUUUCUUGGCAAUUUGUGUGAUUCAUGAAUCGGACAACUCAAUGCAGCUGUAAACUGAAACUUUUGACUAACAAGAGUUAUUACCAUGAGGGGACCUGUAGUGAAUCAAAACAUAUCCUCAAGUUGCAGGAACACUAGCUCGGUCUUGGUUUAGAUGGUUAAGUCCCAACUCUCAAAUGCCCAGCAAACCGAAGAAGCAUACCUCCAGCCCUCACUAUUCCAAUGGACUCACCAAAUCAGUCUUCUAGAAGACAUCUAUAACGGACUAUGUCGUUCACAGCAGCAUCAAACAGAAACUACAAAACACAAAGAAACAUCUAUAACCCUAGUCUCUCUUAGAAAUUAAGGUUAAUAACUUAAUAGUAUACUUUCUUAUUAAUGAAUAGAGACCCUUAGAGAACCUCCAUCAUACCAUUGACGGAGGUGCUCCUAUAUACGCCUUCAUCCGACUUAAUCAUGCAAAGAAAAAAAAACACUUUAACAUAGAAAUUAAAAUAUGAAAACCAAAUUCAUAAAGUAGAACACCAAAACUAAAUAAUUAAAAGGCUUAAGCGUACCCUAAUCAACCUAACCAUAGUCUCGUAUCAAGUUACUAACACAAACUAUUCUUCUUCUUCAUUGAGGACAAUCAGGCCUUUUCAUUCGCAUUUGCCAUUUCCUCACCUUCAAAAAUGAAAAAGAGCCUUGUUUAGUGUAUGGGGGAUUCCAUUUUACCUCCCAAAUGUUAAAAACAAAAUAGAAACAUAUUCUUACCAGACUCGGUGGCUUUCGCUCUUCGACGUAGUAUUUCCAGCACUGAUACGAUUUUAAAAAAAAAUCAAUCAAUCACAGAUUUGUAUUUUCUCUUUUUCUUAGAAACAAAAUACGGAUAAUCUCAACAUUACCACCAACAACGCAACCCACAAAUCCAACGUCAAUAAUGCGAGCCGUCAAAUCUCGGCCUGUUAGCUAUCGCAAAUCCGCGUUUUUCCACCAAAACUGUAAACCUGCAUUUUUCCGCCAAAACCGCAAACCGGUGUUUUUCCCGCCAAAACCGUUGACCCACGUUUUUCCGCCAAAACUAUAAACUCGCGUUUUUCCGGCAAAACCGUAAACCCGUGUUUUCCCGCCAUAAUCGCAUAACCAUGUUAUAGGAAACGUGGUUUUAUGUUUUCUUUUAAAUAUUUUAAUCAAAAAUUGAAUUUAAGUAGAAUAUUAGUUUUAAAUAUAUUUAAUAUUUUGCUCUUUUAAAAAAAAAAAAAAAAAAAAAAAAAAAAAAAAAAAAAAAAAAAAAAUUUUUUGGCCCUUUUUUUUAAUUUUUGGAAAAAUAAAAUUUUUAAAAAAAAAAACCAAAAAAAAAAAAAAACAAAAUGGGCUUAAAAGGAGUCCCCUUUUUUUUGGGGAAAACCCCUUUUAAAAAAGGGUUUAAAUGGGGGAACCCCUUUAACCCCCUUUAAAAUUUUUUUCUAAAAGGGGUUNNNNNNNNNNNNNNNNNNNNNNNNNNNNNNNNNNNNNNNNNNNNNNNNNNNNNNNNNNNNNNNNNNNNNNNNNNNNNNNNNNNNNNNNNNNNNNNNNNNNUAAUGAGUACCAUUAUUGUAGAAAAUCCAUUUAUAAUGGAUUAAUUGGGGUAACCCAUUUAACCCCAUUUAACAUUUUUUCUUAAAUGGGUUUAAUUGGGCUAAAUUUUUGUACAUACCCAUUUAUUAAAUGGGGUUCCAUGUCCAAAUUAACAUCACUACCCUUGACUAUGGUUCUUGCAAGAAUGGCAUAAUAAUGGUCGAGAAAUAUUUUACAUUUGCGAAGAAUUUGAACCUUCGUUCCCCAUUGAAAGAAAUAUUGACCGGCCAGUUUUCACCACAUACACAUUCAAUAUGAAAAGUGUUGAAGCAAAGUUUCUUUUAGGCACGGGCCAGAAGCGACUCAAAUUCAAAAACCGGACCUUGUUUGAUUUUUUUUUUGAAUAGAGACCUUGUUUGAAUUAUAGUAUAACCUAUAUUGUUCUUCUUUAAACUAUAUAACAACGUUUUUCCGUGAUUCCUCAAGUAAGCCUUUGAUGAAUUAUCGGAGACUGAAUCACAAACAUACUAAUUAAAGCCCUAAAACACACAUACGAAGAAAAUCUCGAUUAGCUUCUUGUCAAGAGAAAAGGAAAACUAAAUCAGUGUGACCAAUCACGUUAUAUAUUUUCACUUUUAUAUUCGCUUAAUGUUUACUUUUACACUAAAAUAUAUCUUAUGGUGUCAAUGUAAAAGCUACAAGCAAUUCCGAUGAUGCCAUUACAGUAUUCGCAAAGUAAAAUGAAAUUUCAGGUCACACUAAAUCACCAUUUUAUGUUUUCUCAAUGGUCUGUGUCUAAAGCUUUCAAAGGACACGUAUUCAUUAUACGUACGUGAUUAUACAAUGUGUUAUCCAAUAAACGUAGAUGAGUAAGUGGUCCCUUUUUGGUCGGAGAAAUGGUCAAAGAACGAAAGGACCUAGGCUUUUUUUUUCUUUCUUUUUUUUUUUACUAAAAUCAUAUAGUCACAGUCACAGUCACAGAGCUCCAAAACGGAGUUUUGUUCGCCGUUAUUAAUCGACGUGGCUCAAACACCGUCACAAGAAAAUACAACUGGGAGGGUAACUCCUCAGCCGACGCGCUUAGAGUGACUGUCAGUCACCUUCACAUAUAUGACAGCACCACGUGUCGCGUGGAUCGGACUUUCGGAUCCUAGUAUGGUAGCCUCCAACAUUAAAUUGGUAACGUAAAAAGGUUUGCAAAUUUGCAAUCCUCAAUUGAAGAAACAUCUAUUUAUGGGAGAGAUGUGUAAAUGAAUACAACAUGAAUGCAGAGUUGUGCGUGGUGACAUGACACGAGUGUAAUAUGGUUGAGUGGGGCUAAAUGUAGUUAGUGUUAAGAAAAGGGCUCUAUUGAAACUAUUCAACUUAAAAAACAAAAUUAUGAAAUAAGGAUUUGAAUUUCUGUUAAACGAUAAAUGAUUUAUGCUUUGUGAUAUUUUUUGAAAUUAAUAUCAUAGAUUGAUUAGUUCUAUUAAACGUCAGAAAUUAGAUGGUAUCAACGACUUGAAACUUUUUAGAUUUUUUAUUCAUACGUUGUUAAAAAAGUAGACGCUACGAAAGAUUAAGUUGAAUUGUCGUUUUUUCUUUCUAAAAAAUCAUUUUUUGUGUGUGCGGAAAUCACAGAAUAAAUCACUUUGCAAAUUUGUUAAAAUUCCAAUAUAUAUGUAAGAAGAAAAAAACGUCAACUACUUUGGAAUUUUUUGAGUGAAUAUUUUUGGAAUUUAACCAGUGUUGUUAACUCGCACAUCCCAAUAUAGUAUCCGGCGUUUUGAUGGGAAAAAAAAUAACACAAACACCAACGCAUAAAUCCAAAAGCCGUUCUACGUAACGUAAGUCAUAAUAGUAAAAAAAAUAUAAAAUGUUAAAAGAGAUUUCAAAUGUUUUCUACUGGUCCUUGUAGGUCCAUUUUCGCCGUCCGUGUUCCAAAUUCAAUCUUCAUUAUCCCAAAAAAAGGAGAAAGAGUUAAAGUUAUUAUAUCCGUCCACGUGGUAACGAUGACGACUCCAGCCGUUGGAUCUGAGACCAUAGUGCUUAACUGUUUUAUACGUUUUUUGAUCACAAAGUUGGCGACAAGAAUCAAAUCCAAAUCUCAUCCUUCCUUUGUCUCUCAUUAUGAAGCCGCCCUUCUUAUCUUUAACAUAUACCAUUCUAAAUCGCAUAUACUAUCUACUUAAGCAAGAGUCUUAACUAUUUGUUAGAUACGUAAUUAGUCUUUGGAGUUAAAAGUUUGAUGCAAACACACAAAAGUCAAAAGUUAAAAAGCAGUCCAAACUGUGAAAAUGACGUAAGCGUAAAGAAGUAUUAUUCUAACGUACGCCGCAGCCAGAGAAGAUGGGUCCGGUCCUCCCACGAUUGGUGCGUGUCUUCACGACACUUGGACCAUUGUCAUUUUCAAGCCGACGCCGAUACUCAUAACUAUUUUUAGUCUUAUAAUAAUAAUACAAAUAACAUUAUCAUUCUUUUAUCUAUUUCCUACACACGACCCCCCUAAAAAAAAGCUCUAUAAUAAUUUAUCUUUCUGUUUUUCCUAUAUUCUUGAAUUAUGAAUGAUAUUAUUCAUAAAUUAGAUGAGAAAUCAGUUGCAAAGAAAAGAAAAGAAACAACAAAAACUGAAAGAUCUUCUUAUGUUACGUCGAUUAUAUUAUAGGGUUUGAUAAUAAUAUAUACAUAACGACUUUUUUUCCAUGGCAGCUAAAAAUUAUAUUUUAGCUUUUCUCCACUUUCUUCUAAAAAACGGAUAAUAUUUUUUUUCUUAAGCUGAAAAAGAAAACGUUAUUGUUUUUUCUAAAGAAACGACAUAAGAAAGAAAAAAAACUCACGGCCUAUUCCGCCGGGGGAGCUAAGUUAAGAUCCAGAUCUAACGGCUGAGAUAUCUUCCCAGCUCCACCUUCGAAAUCAAGGACCGACGACGUUUCAGACUCGCUCUGGACACCACACGCCGUCAUCUUCCUCGGAUACGCCGUCAUGUUAAAGUAGUAAAUCGGACGUACAAGCGGGAUCUUACGACGACACGCGCCGCCGCCUAAGCUGAGCUCGAGCUGCGGAGGUGUUACAAACCUUGGCGCCGUGGGAGAGGUAGAGUCGAUGACGGUGCUACUCUGAGUAGGACUACCAACGAAAACACCCUCCGUUUUCCCGUUGAGUUCAAGAAACGUCGGGAAAUUGGUCUUAGCCUUCGAACCACGAAAGUCACGCGCUGCUGCGUCGUAAGCACGCGCCGCCUGCUGAGCGGUAUCGAACGUACCGAGCCAGACCCGAGUUUUCUUAACUGGAUCUCGGAUCUCAGCGGCGUAUCUUCCCCAUGGACGUUUCCUAACGCCUCUGUAACGAAUCUCUUUCGCAGCAUUACUCUCAUGACGAGUCGGGUUCGUUGGAGCAACCGGGUCGGGUUUCGAACCCAUGAUGAAUGAUAGGACGGGAGAAGAAAUGAACGAGAAGAUCGGUGAAAGAGUUUUGUGGUAAUGAGAAGAAGAAGAAGAAGAGCUUCUUUUUAUAGGAGGAGAUUGAGAGUAAAGCAACGCUCCUUUUGGGGAGCUUUCUUGUGAACAGUCAAAGCCAUUUUGAGAGAUGGUUUAAUUAUCUUUCUCUGAUGCUUCUCUUAUUAUUACAUAUAAAACCGGGUUUUGUUAAUAUAUCCACUUAUGUUUAGCCACGUGUGCACUUCUCUUCCUACAAAGAAUCUUACUUUUUAGUUUUUACCCUUUCUAUAGCCAGACUUCUUUUUUUCUUCCUUGAAACAAAGACUGCACAAAUUACAAUCUUAUAAAUUAAGUUACUGGCUAUUAAGAAUAUAUUUCAAAUUGGUUGAUGUUUCAUUAAUCCCUAUUAUUAAAAGAGUUAAUUAAAAAAAAACCAUUAAACGUAUAAUGUCUUUCGCAUUAGGCACUUCUCAUUAUGCCCUUCGUAUUUAGGUACUCUAACUUUUUUAGAUUACGCUUUUGCCCUUCUCCACACUACGUCAUUCUCGCCUUCUGUUUUCUCCUCCGUUUAGAAACGACAAAUUCGCAAUCGAGGGUUUACUGUAACAAAAACCUCACUUUUUCUACGUUGUCUGUGUUCUCGAUCCGUUUUGAUGGUUAGCACCUGGAGUAAGAGAGCUGAGGAAGCUGCCGCAUUUUUCGGUUCCCAAUCGGCCGUGUCCCCAAAAAUGAAAAAGGCUAAAGCUGUUCAUAACUCGCUGGCAGAAGAAUCUCGUUGUCGGAAUACAAUUCCAGGUUAAAUCCGAAGUUUUAGUUUUUCAAUUUGCAAUCUGUUGUAUUUCUGCUUUUCGGUUGAUGUGAUAAUCAAGUUGUCAAGGUUUUGAAAUGCUCAAAUCUAAAACUCCAUUUUUUUGCAGAUUCAUCAAAUAGCGAUACCACUGCUACUAUUGGUGAAGGUACUGUGCUCGUUUUUGCCCCCUUAAUGUGUUACUGUAAAAACACCUUUAUUCAUUCUGCUUUACAGUUUCUGGGAUUUUAAAUUUCAUAAGCUUUUGAAUUUUUUGUAUGUAAUAAUCAAUUUUCACGAAAUUUCAUGUAACACUAAAGGCUCUGAGAAUAGUUGUCGUCGUACUUUCCUCGUAUUUGCCUCUGUUUUUGUUUCGUACUGCUAACAUUUAUCCUGUUAUUUUUUGAUAUCUUCCGUUCUAUGAUGACUGUGCUAUAAAACAAGGGAUGUCAUACUUUUUGAUUAUAGGGACCACUCCUGUUGAUGUGUCUUCUUCACAGGCUCAAUCUGAAAGUACGUUAUAAAGACUCCUCUUUUAACUUUUUUUCCAUCAUCAGCUUAUUUUUUCUUAUUCAGUUUAUAUCUUUCAUCUAUUAUGUAUCUACAUUAUUGAAAUGCUGUUUUUAGAUCAUGUAUUUAUAUGUCCUUCCUUUUUUCUCUAAAGGCUCUUCUCCACGUUCACCCACCUCCACGUCAGGGUCUAACAUCGACAAAACUAUUACAUCUUCAAGUGAUAGCUUGUCAAGAAAGGAUGUACCUGAUUCUGCAGAUGGGGAAACUAGUGUUGCUGGGGUUUUAUCCUCUUCCACAGGUCUGUACGUUGGAUUUAGUGCUGCUUAUGGUGCUUUCCAAUAUUUACAUAUGUACCAAAAUCUGUUGUCCUUUCCUACACCUUAUAGAUGAGGAUAAAUUUGGAAAAGCUGAUGACCAAGUGUUGCCAAAGCGUUUCUUUUCUACUGAUCGCUACCCAACCCGAGGGAGAGCCAACUCAUACUCGAAGCCCCAGUAUCUUGUUGAUAUAUUAUCAGUUCUUGAUGGGACGCCAGAACUUGUAACCCUAAAGAGAUCGCCUUUCAGCUCGUUAUUUGAACUCCCGGUUCGGCGUUGCUCAUUGUCUGGUAAACUUGUACACAACUUUCUGUGUAGGCAAAUUGUUACAAAGAAUUCUGACGAGAUGUGGUUCACUUUUGGAGGCUAUCCGCUGAGAUUUUCUUUGUCUGAGUUCGAACAAAUAACUGGUUUACCUUGUGGUCCUUACCCUUCACCAGCAAAACUUGCUGUUGUGCAAACAGCUCCGGAAGAUUCAGAGCAUUACUGGUAUACUCUUCUUGGGAGGGAAGAUGAAUAUACAAUUGAGCAUAUUGUGAAUAUGCUCAAAGCUGAACCUGCCAUGCCAGGAUGGAAAAAAAUUCGUCUUUCGCUUAUAGUUAUUGUUGAAGGUGUUUUAAUAUGUGGGACUCAGCCUAUCCGUGCUUCCUUACCUAUUGUAGAAAUGGUUAGAAACCUAGAUACUUUCUACUCCUAUCCUUGGGGUCGACAUGCUUUUGACCAUACGCUUCGUAUGAUUAAAGUUGGGGAGAAAGUGAGGAACCACAACAUCCAGAUCAACAAGCUGCAACAAAAAACCUUGGUUAUCCAUGGAUUUCCAAUAGCUAUACAAUUGUUGCUGUUCCAGUCAAUACCCCUCCUCUUUCGUUAUUUGCCAUCAUCUAAGGAUGCCCAGACAUUUUAUGAUAUGAGUUUGUCUGUCUUACUGACCUUGAAGACGUAUCACACAAAUAACAUCUUACUAGUUGAAAACGACAAAGACGUGAGUACUUCUUGUGCUUUUAUAGGUUUAGGUUUUCUAACCCAAUUGUAACCUUGUUUUCUACUUUACUUGCAGCUGAUUGUUUCUCAAUCUGUGGUUUCCACUGAAGAGGACUGUGUCUCUGUUGGUGAUCCUAAAGUUUCCCAUUUGCUGAGUUUAAUUCGAAGAGGUUAUAGGUUUUCUAAGGGAGACUGGCGGGGUGGUGAUGCGUCACUAGGAAAGUUGUGCAUCUGUGAUAAAAAAAAAUAUUGUCGCUGCAACUGUGGACCUGAUUAUUCUCCGCCAAAUACAUGUACACCAGCUCCUGUGCUAGGACUUUUAUCUUCAAAUGCUGAUUCCGAAGCUAUUGCUAAACUAACAACAGAAGUUGCACAUCUUAAAAACACGUAUGCGGAGUUAUAUGUAAAGCUGAAAGCAGAUGUUGUUGUUGAGGUUAAAUCUUUUUUGGAGGCACGUACAUGUGGAAAUUGCAGCAGAAAUUGUGGUGUCGCAGCCUCGAGGGCGGAUUCGCUGUCUGCUGCUGUUGUAGAUACCCUUAAACCUGUUAGCAGUAGUAAACCAUUGGAAGAAGAAGAAAAUGUAGCUUUGCCUUCUGAAGUUAAAACUGGAAAACCCAAAGUCUUCUCUUCUGAUACAGGCCGCGUAUAUGGUUGCGUGGAAAAUUGUUCAAAGGUAUAUAAUUCCACGCUAACCCUGCACAUGGUUUUAUGUUACAUACAUUUGCUUCUUUUUAAUCAUCCAUUAUUCGUUUCUUUUACCUAAUUGAAUUUUGGUAUAGGAUGUCACUGUCACCCCUGAGAGUAGGCUGCAAACUGGAGAUCCCUCUUUCCAGCCGUCAGUGCGUGAAGAUGAUGUUCCUUCAAACCUGCAGGUAUAUGUUCACUUAUAUUUCAUGAAUGUUGAGAGUAGUACCUUUAAACUACGUUUUAAUUGACUCUUCCCCUGUACGGGUGGCUGAAUUGCCUCCACAGCUAGGUCAAAAAUAUUUAAAGCCUAUGAAAGGUAGAAAUAAGAGAGGAAUGAUUGCAAGUACCCGCUGUAACGUGAAUAAAUCCCCAAAGCGGCAGAAACAAGGGCUGCCAGGCCAUGUUGAUUACAUUCCCUUUCAUCCUGUUCCGCAACGGCUUAGCGCAACUUUUAAAAACCAGCUUUUGUCUUACCGCAAAUCGUGCGUUUCUAUAACAAUUUUUCCUUCCAUUACAUUAUGUGCAUCUACUCACUUCCUCUUUUCCAUUUGUUGUUUUACAGCACUUACGAUAUUGAUGGCUGUGAAGUUGGUAAAACCUUCUUUUCAGAUAUUUACACCCCACAAAAGUGGAUCUUCUCAACUGUGAGUUAUCUUCUUUGUCUAUGCCCUCAUCAUUCAGUAACUUAAUUUCUAUGUCCAUCUACUCUUUAACCCCAAUACAAAGUUUAUCUAAUAUGGUUUUUCUUUGCAAUUACUAGAUUGAUAUCUUUUAACAUCUUCUUUAACCCCUUCUCCACUAUCACCCUUGCAAAAAACCCUUUUCCAGUACUUGUUAUAUAUGUAUACCCUUUAUUUCAUCCUUUUGGUUGUGUUAUUCCACAUCUUCCUCAUGCAUUUUUUUUACGCACUGCUUUUUAACACGUUUCUUUACGUGACUUUGGUAUUUGCAUUUUUUUCCCCAGCAUAUGGCCUUGAUUCUUAGGACGUUCUGGCGAAAAAGAGGAUCGUACCUUGCUGCAAAGGAAAUAAUUCUACUUGACAGCUUGUUUACCCAGCUGCUUUGUUCUCAGUACUCUGACUUUGUCAACACAACUUCCCCCUCUGCCUUUCUUUGGGACCCUCUAGUUGCCAGCUACAUUGAAGGCACAGGUGGAGAUCAUACAGAGCGAACCACUUGGUUCAAGGAUGUUACCAUUGUAUAUGUGCCAAUGAAUUGGGGAAAUCGACAUUGGGUUGGUCUCGUAAUAUGCCUGAAAUCCUCCCACAUUGAUAUCCUUGAACCAUACUUGGAGUGUUCAUCUGACAAUGAGGUUGCAACAUAUAUGGAGCCGUUGGUUACAAUGCUGCCUCACCUGUUGAAGGCGUCAUGUCAUCCAACUGACAUUGGCGUUUUACUUGAUUCACCGUUCACCUAUCAUCGUGUUGAAGGUCUUCCGCAGAAUACAAAGACUGGAGAUUGUGGACCGUUUAUGAUGAAAUUAAUUGAAAUGCACUCCCAUAAUUUCUUAGUCGCGGAUAUGGGGCAUAUUUCUGAUGCUACGGUGGAUAUAUUUCGUAUGGACUAUGCGAUACGUGUUUACGAAGAAUUUAUUGGUAAGAUAGGUUUGUAAUGCCUUACUCUUAUAUCCCUAUAUGUCACCUAUGUUCAUCUGUAACUUAUGUACUGUUGUUUCGACAAAAAAAAAAAACUUAUGUACUGUUGUAAUGCUUAAUGUAUCUUCCGCUCUAAACUCACGGUAACUCCUUUGUAACAUAGAAGCUGUGGCUCUAUUGCUCUGAUCUUGAGGAGCAUUCUCUGUUCUGUAUGUAGCUCAUGUGAACUUCUGGCUAUUAUUAAUCAUUCAUAGUUAUAUUUAAGUUAAUAUAACUUCCACUUCAUCUGAAUAUUAUUCAUGAUUUCCACCACUUUGUCAUUUAAUUCCACUCCAACUUAUCUGCUCAUGUCUUUCUGUGCUUUAAAUGAAACCUUCAAAAUUCAUUUUGUCUCUUACCAUAUCUGCGUCACGUUCCCUUAUUUAAGAUGUUGUCAUUCCUCUGUCUCCUACACUUGUCCAAUCAUGUUAACACCACCCAAUUAGUUGCUUAACUUCCCCCGACUCACCCACUUUGUCAUAAAUAUCUCAUUACCAUAUAUGUCUUCUUAAGUGUGUUGUUGCAAGUGUCUAUAUAGGGUUCAUCAUCUCUUUGUAUUCAAACUGCUCCAACUUUUUCACUUUUCACAUAACGUUUAUUAAAAUGGAUAACUUGGUUGAUGAUGCUGCAAUCGAAAUCUAUCGUCGAGUUGCCGAGACAAGCUUCACGAUGCUUGCACCGUUGUUACUUGUUGGGAAAAAACAAAGCAAGCUUGCUUUUUCUGAUGCUGUCUUGUCUUCUCUCUCACUUCAUGAAUUCUUUAACAAUCCUGAGCUUGCAAAUGAAGGCUCUGCAUUUCGUUCAUUUUUCUUAAAGUGUGUUGCUGCUAACAACCCAGUUGCAAAUUACCUGGAGAGCCUCCGUAUUGUAGCGCAGCAUGGGGAUGUAAGCCAUGCUAUUGCCAUGCUUUAUUCAGCUGUCCCGGAGUCUGAUUACAUAAGUUUUGCCAGGGGUAUGUUUCUUAUUGUAGCCCAGUUUCCUUCUGAAGGUAUUGCAACUAUUUCCUCCUUGUUUAAUCGACUUGGGACUGUUGCACAAUUGGAUGCUAUUGGUACUGUUGUAUUCCGCCACCUUUCCAUCUUCCGUCCUUUUAGGAGAAGGCUUUUUUCUAACCUUCUGGUUCUAGACAGCAUUCCUGUUUGUGUUGGAAACGCGUGCAACUUGCAUAACCGAUGUCUUAACUGUUUUAUGUAUUGGUUCAUCAUCAGGUUGAACUUCGUGUUGUAGGUAUUUAUGUUCCAAAUAUGAUGUACUAUCAUGUGCUAUACUUUUCUUUAAUAUUUAUGUAAGAUUCUCCUACGUUCCCUGUUGUAAGCUAAUUUUGCUAUUAGUCUGGGCCGUUGAUGUAUUAUAUUAUGCGCCAAUAUAAAUGUAAAAUUUCUUAAUCAAUUUAGUUUGGGUUUAGUAGUCUAUAAGUAGGGUUUAGUUUACUGGUUGUUUCAUCUAUGUUAUGAGUUCCAAUAUAUUUUAUGUUACCUUACCCUUCACGUAAUUUUUUUUGUUUUUUUGGGUUUUACUUCUCCAUUACCUACGGUUUGGGAUCCUAUUUCUUAAUUCUGUAAUUUAUCGCAUAAGUACAUUUCAUAUGCUUCAUAUUUGGGUUUAUUAGUCCAUACAUAUGGAUUUGCUAUAUUUUGGUCACAACUUUGUUUUUCUUGUCCACUGUGUCCCAGUUUCCUUAGAAUCUAAGAAAUCAUUCUCUGCAUUGUGUUUGGGUUUAGUAGUCCAUACUUAGGGUAUAACUAUAUUUCCGGUUCUUCCAUGUACCACAUUAAUGAAAGAAAUUAUUUGGGUUUACUCCUAAUAUUGUUUAAUGCAUUGCUAUUUUGUUAGAGUCUAAGAAAUCAUUGUAUGCAUUGUGUUUGGGUUUAGUAGUCUAUACUUAGGGUAUAGCUAUAUUUUCGUUUCUUUGCUGUACCAAAUAAUUGAUAGACUUUAUAUGGGUUUACUACUAAUAUAUUUUCAUUCAUUGCAUCAUUUCAACAUCUGCUAUUGGAGUUAUAGCUGUCUUUUUUAAAUUUCAAUAUACAAGGUUGUUUUCAAAUUAGUGCAGGGCCAUUGUAAUUUAAAUAACUACUUUUAAGUUCUGUAGAGAUAUUAUAAAAACUGAGAGCAACCAACAAUCAUAAACAGGGAUAAUUAUACAUUACAGCCACUAGGCUUCGACAUUUAAAUAUUUUAUAGAGUACCAAGUCCCUAACACAAAGCAAUAGUAGACAUUAUAAGCAGAAAUAUAAAUAAUUCAGCAUAGUUGUCGGACUCUGUGAGAGUACCAAUAAGGUAGACAGUCGAAACAGACAUCAUUCAUGGUACAUGCAAAAUGAACACAGUUUGGUAUGUCUCCUUCUGGGUACCUAUAUGUACCAUCGUAAUUACCAGAGAGAGGGGGUUCGAGGUCCGCAAUUUGGGCCAUGACUGCUUCACCAAUCUCCACCAUUUCAUCCAACCAGGAGAUGUUCAAAGCUAGAAUAUGCAUAGCUAUCCUACCUUCUUCGUAGCGACCAGCACAAAUUGCAAAGAUUCCGUAUGCAAAUGCGGCAUAGACGAUGGGACGUUCGGCUCUGUGGAUCAACUCCAAACUCUCUAUUGAUGGACCAUAUUUUACCAACCGUCUUAGCCCUUCGACGUACAGGGCCGUCGCAUUUCCUGCAUCAAAGCAUUUCAUGAAAAAAGACCGAAAAGGCGUGCCUUCAUUUGAUAGGGAGCUCACGAAAAUAAACUCAUCGAGGUCGGCUUCAACUAAGACUUCUGAGGAAAAAACAGCAUUUUUUCCUUCCUUGCCACUGGCAAUGAAUGGUCCUAGCUCUCUGAAUCCAUGUCUUCCAAGCCUCUUUACAAUUUCUAUGAGUAUCUCUGGGGGAAAAUAAACCAUUUUCUCUCUAUCUCUCAGAAGAUUACUUAACUCCUAUUCUUAUACUCCUCUCUCUUCCUUAUUUUACGUUAUUUAUUACGAACCUAUUUCUGAUUUAGCUCAUCUACACUACUGCAUAAACCCACUAUCUUUCAGCUCUGCAUUGAAUAUCUAUUUAACCACUCCGCAACUACUCCCUGUUUAGACAUCUGUCAUUAGUGUUCUGUCUUUUCUUAUCUGUUUUUACUGAUUUUGUUUACAAAAUCCCUAUUAAAUGAUGUUUAGCUUGAGAUGAUGGACAAGAUAAGUCAGGUCUGUCGUUAGAGGAACCGCUUUUCACUAUCAUCGAAGUUCCAAGUGUUUCCACUUGGCGCCCUGUUUCAACCACCUUAAUUAAAGACACACUUCUUACUCCAUUACAACUCUUCCUUCUAUCUAUCUUUAGCUUCACGUAUUUCCUUAUACCAAUUCUCGUAAUGGUUCACAUUCCAGAAGAUUUACUUGUCAAUAUUAUUUCCCGCAUUGGGAAAUAUGGCUUUAGGUAUCUAGGUCCUCUCAUCGCUUCUACUAAGGAAACCAAAAAUACAGUUUUUUCUCCCCUUGUACUGCAGUGUGUGGAUCUUUCUGAGUUCAAGACGGAGAGUUCUAUGGUCCAGGUAGAGUCCAUUUACCGUCCCUUUUUCUCUGCUUGCAUUGAAGCAGGAAAUGUUGACGCCAAUCUGUUUGAGGGUUUACGUAUUCUUUGUCAAGAAGGGCCAACAGAGAGUGGUUUUGCAAUGGUUGCUAUGUCCCAUCCUGAUUCCAUAUCUGCAACAUUUGUCACUGGUGUCUUCCGCAUAUGUGCUGGUCAAUAUGAAUCUGGAAUUGAGACCAUUUCACACAUUUGGAAUCUCGUUCCUCGCUGGGAAGAUGUUGUUGUCGUUGCUGAUAUGGUUAUGGAGCAAAUUGUUAGAAUGGGGCCUGCUGGGGAUGGUAUUUACUUUAAUAGCUUCCACUACCCUGUUGACGAUAUCCCGCAUUGCACUUAUAUCCAUUGUGCCGCUGAUAAUGUUUGCAAAGACUGCUUUGGUUUCUGGUACUCGCUUAUCAUACGUUCUAUUUGCUAACCAUCUUUGUUUACCGAUCGUAUGUGUAAUAAUAAGCUUCAGUAUCUCAUGUUGACAUUCGGUAGAUCCUUAAGAUUGAAUUAGCUACCACUUGUAGUAUAUUAUGUACCAAAUUCUCUGUUUCUGUACCAAACAUUUCACGCUUUCUAUGUUUGUAAUAUAUCUUUUUUAUCUGCCAAUCUCCAUGUAAUAUAUUUAACCAGUUUGUAAUAUACUUGUAGUCAAGAGCUAACCGGCCAUCUCAUGUCUACAAGCCUCUGUCACUAUUUAUGGAGACUGGUGGGGUUUUACCAGAAGCAAACAUUGACAUUUCAGACGGGGGGCAGUACGACAUUCUCUGGACUACACCUUCGAUCUCUGUUGCAAACUCUUCCUCAAUACGUGUCUUAACUGCUGCAUAGCUCAUAUCCUCAGAAACCAUCACGCAUUGAGCAAGACAGUUUGUUUCCACAAUAAACUUCCACCAACCAUUAGUAGAGCAUUCCCAGUUUCCCACUAAAACGAGUAAGAGUGUCUCCUUACCCUGCAAUAUUGAUAAAUCCCAAAAUUAAUAUAUACCAUAGUAAGGAAAAUGAACACACAGAGUCUGGUAAGUAUCAUGUCUACCUGAUAGACCAUAAUAUUAAAAAUUUGUUCACCAUUUACUCUUACGUACCAUUCUCCUAACCACAGUCUAACCAUCCACUAUCAACCCAACUUAGGUUGUUUCGAGAAGCUACAAUUCCCUCCUACACUACAUUCGUUUGGUAUAAAAUACUGCCAGCCACUUCAUCACCCAAAACAACAAACAACAUUCUUUUCCACUUACCAUAUUUGCAGAUCCGUUAACCUCCGGCGAAUUCGUGUCGAUUAUCUCUAUCAUUCUUCCUUCGUUAGCUGUAUCACAGGACUUACUUCAACUCCUACUUCUCUUUACCUCUAUUUAUCUUAAUCGACAAACCCUAGAAACCAAACAACUUGGGGACAGUCAAUUUCUGUCCACAGAUGCACCAUAAAAACCAGCGUCGGCCUGUUCAUAAUUUACCUUACAGCCACAUAAUUUUUUAAUUAACUUAAUCUAUGGCUUAAUAUCAGUGACGUCAUCCUCCCACUCACGAUAGCUUGAGUUCGUUUCCCGCUCAUUGAGAUAAGGGCAAAAUCGUCCUACCAUCUACAGUUUUUAUAGAACUAUUUAUGUCCACAGUAAAUAAUGCCCAAAUCCGAAUCUGCCUGCUGAAAUGUGCCUAUUUUCACAAAUCUCCCAUUAUUAAAACUAUAAAACUUGUUUGUACUACAUUCCAUACUACAUUAAAACUAUAAAACUUGUUUGUACUACAUUCACAUUCAGACUGCACAAAUUACAAUCUUAUAAAUUAAGUUACUGGCUAUUAAGAAUAUAAUUCAAAUUGGUUGAUGUUUCAUUUAUCCCUAUUAUUAAAUCUAUAAAACUAGUUAUAUCGCCACUUUAUAAUAUUAAGUAAUUUUCUUAUUAAAAGCAAUGUAAUAUGCGGAUUUAAAUCUAUAUGAUGACAUACCGAUAAUACUAAUAUACACUACAAAACUAUAUGUUUUAGUUGGGGUCAUCAUCUAUAUAGCAGAAAAUAAAUAUUAUCAAACAAAAUUAACAUAUUUUUAAUUUAGUGGACCGUUAUAUAUGUUGUUACCGUAUCAACAUAUAUAUAUAUAUAUAUUUAUUACUUGCAUAUUAUAUUGUACAAAAAAAAUUAGCGAACAAAUUUUUGGGUUUGUAAAUUAGUAUACCGUUAUAUAUAUUUCGUUAAAGCAUCGACAAAAAAUAAAUAAAAUUGAAGAAAAUUAUUUGAAAUUUGUAAUUUAGCUAUGAUGGUACCAUGACGACAAAAAAAACAUAUAUAUACUAUACGCAAACCUAUUUGGUUCAAAGAGAAUAUUACCGAACUUGUAGUUUAGUGUACCGUUAGUCCGUUAUAGAUAUCGUUGAUGCGCCAACAUUAAAAAAAAAAAUCUACGAUGUGCAUGUCUAUCUGGUGAAAAGUAAAUACUCUCGAACAAAAUUGUCGGAAUUUUGUAUUUUAUUGGAUCUUAUAUAUGACGAUACCAUGACGGCAAAAAAACGCAUAUAUACUAUUUGCGUGUUUAUUUGGUGAAAAAAUAUCACCAAAAGAGAUUGUUAGAUUUAUAGCUAGCGAAUCAUUAUAUGUAUUUUUAACAUACCAAAAAAAGGAGAAAUCUACUACAGUAAAACCUCUAUAAAUUGGAUUAAAAAUGAAUAUCAUCAAACAAAAAUAUUUGAAUUUGGUUUUGUGGACAAAAAUAUAUGUCGUUACAUUGACGAAAACAAAAAUAUAUGCCGCUACAGUGACGACAAUAAAAAAGACAAACCGAUUAUUUACAUGCCCAUUUGGUCAAAAAAAAAGAAAGAGAAUACUAUCGAUUAUAUUUGUUGGAUUUUUGUAGUUUAGAAGACUUUUAUAUAUGUAGUCUAUUGUGUUACCAAUUAUAUAUGAUCAUAGUUAGAGUGAAGUAUAAUCUAGUCAAAUACAAGCACAACAAAAAACAAUUUUUUGUGCCAGCUUCAAACUUAAAUUAGAAAGUAACUUCUUGAUUGUCGCUCAUUCCAAAAGAGUAUAAUUUACAAAACUAAUGUCCUUCAAUUUUUCUUGGCUAAACGGGCUAAAUUAUGUGAUCUAAAAUUCAAUAGUCGAGGGUCAUAAAAUAAAAGAAAGAGAAAAAAAAUAUAUCAUAAAUACAACUCAUCCAAAAGAUUGUAAAAAUAUACUCUUCAAAAUACCGCGAUAAUCGUUACCCCGCGUAGUAUAGAUUGACUAUGGAUCGGGCCUUGAUACCGCGAUAUCAAAAAAAAAAUACCGCGAUAACUUGAUCAACUUUAAAAGUCCGUCUCAAACUUUGAUGUGUAAUAUUUCCUAACUUAUGACUUCAAUACUCAAUAUGUUUUCAGUGAUAUAAAGAAUCUCUUGUAUUAUUGAGUCAGUUUAAAUAAAAAUUGGUUUGGAACAAGAUUGAAGUUUUUGGAGCAAAAUCAAGAAAAAAUAUAAGAAAUGAAGGUGUCGAUCGAGAGCUGCUAUGUUGCAUCAAUCAACAGUCCGUUAAGAGGCAAGACAAGGUAAAACAAUUGUUGAAUAAAUUGAUCAACAAUUCAUCAUGCCAAAUCCAUUUUGUCGGCCGAAUCGAGCGAUACGAAAAGAGUAUUGAUCAACAGCCUCUUGAGCCUAACUAGGCCAAGACCUAUUGUCGUCCUAAUCGAUUGACAUCUCUAUGCAUGUUGAUUGUCAUACUCUUUAACCGAAAAGAGAAUUUUGAGUAUCUUUUUGUCUUGGAGUCUCCCUAUAUUGACAUAUAACCAACCCAUUUGAUCGAUUAUUUGGUAAAAAAAAAAAUACUAUCAUGUUUUGGUUUUUUUUUGUAGUUUAGAAGAAUGUUAUUACAGCAUACUACAAUGGCAAAUCAAGAUUAAAGGAAACUAAAAGAUAUUGCAGACCGCACAUUACCACCUUUUGAUGAUGAUUUUUAGUUAGUUCACUGAAAUCUCCUAUAAUUACCAUAUACCCGUUUGAAUAGAUUAUAUCCUUGUUAACAUUUUGCCAUUUCCAUACAAUUUAUCACCAAAUUAACAAGGUGAUCACCACAAACAAAAGAUAAGUAGACCUUAUUACCUUGAAACUAUUCGAAUAAAAAAACAUUUAAUUUGUCUUCAUUAUUGUCGAACAAAUCUAAACUACCACUAGAACGUAACCACUUAGUUCAACAGUAAAAACCUUAUUAAUUUCUUCAUAAAAUUAUAAACCUUGCAAGUUGCAAGUAAUAAAUUCAAGCUUUAAUUUGUCUCCGACAGAAAUAGUAUAUCUAGUUUAAAUUACUGCCACAAUUUCUUUAGAUGCCUUGCCGAAGAGUAUCUUAGUUCUUGACAAUAUUAACUCAAGUUUUUCAUGAUUCGGCUGGUGAAUUCGAAAUAAGCCGAUAUACCAUGUUUCCGAACCAUGUUUAUACGGUGUCAUAUCAACACUCCACUCUUUUUUUUUAGAAAUUACCAAUAUCGUCUUCAUAUCUUAGUUUCUUAUUCCUAAAAUAUUAUAAGUGUCCUGAUUUUGUAUCAUUCAGAUUUGAUAUUAGUUGGAAUUAAUGAACGGUAGUUGUGAAUAUAUUGUCAUAUGUUACAUCAUCAUUACGAAUAUUUGAUCUAAUAAUAUUAUGAUCUUAAAAAUAUAUUGAUCUAAUAAUGUUAUGAUCUUAAACUCUAGUAUCAAUCGAUUAAAGGCUAUUGUCAACAAAUAAUAUUCAUAAUAUUAUACCAAAAAUUUCAGAUAUGGUGCGAACUUCUUUUUUUUUUUUAAUAGCUACGAACUUUUUUUUUUGUUUUCUUUUGUCAACCAUUUUUGUUAAUUUAUUAAAAUUGUUUUUCUGAUGGAAAUAAAUUGGCGACAACAAGCAAGAAAUUAAAAGCUCUCACGAUUAAAGAGAAGCAGAUAUUGGCAUUAGAAUCUGGAAAAUUACGGACAACAACAACAACUUUAAAUUUAAUAACAACAACAAAGAAUCAGCGGCGCAUCAAAACAGCCGAGAGAAUUCUUCUGAAACGUGGCGCAAUCACGAGGACGCGCGGCUCAGGAACCGCGUUUUAAUGAAAACGCGUGACGAUCACGUCACAACGAAACCCGUUUCGACAAAAGAGCGUUAUAACGUUUUUUGAUGGUGACAUCAGCUACAUCAGCCGCCCCUAACGCUAAAACCCAAAAUCUCUACAUUAUUUUUUUAUGGAUUCUCUCAUGCCACGUGGAUAAAUGAAGACACGUGGAACAAGAUUAAAGGAUGAGACGCGCGUCGGUUAACCGCAAAUUUAACGGUGGUGGGACCACCGUCAAGUCCAUUCUUUUUCAGUUUCGUAAAGACGGAAUUUAAUUUGACGGCAGGAGAAGACCAAGACCGUGAGCGUGAGGUCAUUAUCUAUUUUUUUAUAAUAAAUUUUGUUGAUUAACUUUUUUUUUUUCUUAACGACUUGGUCAACAGUCGACACUUAACACCUAUAUUCUGUCUUUACGCCUUGAUUAAUGGAUUGGGUUAUCUUUUGUGUUUGUCCACAGAUUAAAUUGGUAAUUUACAAAAAAAAUUAAACAUCAUCAUUAUCAUUAGUCUAUGUUAAUUAUUCUAAAUUACGUCUAUAUCACGUUGAAUUCAGAAAAGUUCUUUUUCGUUUCCUAAAAGUAAAACUAUAAAACAGUUAGAUUUUAAUAAUAAAACCAUUGUCAUUAUCAAAAAAAUAAAAAUAAUAAUAAAACCAUUGAGAAUUUCAUGCAACGGAAGAUUGAAUUUACGUACUAUAAUUAUUCAACUACAAAAUGUCUCUACAUUUAAAUUAUUGAACCAGACAAAAGAAUCUUUGUGAGUAACACCACGUGGUCAGAAAAAAAUUGUAAGAGAGAUUUCGGGUUAAAAUUUACACUCAACCGAUAACUAAACCAUACAAGUGUUUCUAUAAAUUUGCUUCUCAACAAUUUUUUAUUUUUAAUCUAGAAACAAAUUUUUUUUUUAAUUCGAAAAAGCUCUUUUCUUUUGUAGUCCGGGUAUUAAAUUAAACUAGUUAAUCAAUUAAAGGAGUGAUAAUAUAAUAUCGUCAAUAUUUUUUUUAAUUUUUUUUUUUUAAAUAUCGUCAAUAUUAUACACUGGAGUUGGAUAUCAUAUGAUAUUAUAACCAAGUUAAUUCCGUUUCUUAAUCCAAAAAUAAGUAAGAAAAAUAAAACAAUUGGGUUAACUAUUAAACCUUUUGAGAGUUUCUGAAAACAGAGUCAAUACAUGAUUACAUGUUACCAUGACACGUGCUCAGUGGAUGUGCCUGAGCCGGCGAGGAUAAGUGAGAAAGAUGCUGCGAUGACUUUGCCACGGCGGCGAAUAUUCUUGUUUUUUUUCCGCUGGUUUUCAUGCAUGCAAACGUUUUUUUUUUUUUUUUAAAGGCUUUCAAUCAAAAUAAAUUUAUGCCCAAUGAGCUAUUUCCGGAUAUAGCCCAUACAAAAUUCCUUUGGGCCCAUCCCUAAUACAACAAACCGAACUAAAACCAACAAAACCAAAACCGACCCGGUUCACACAUCUGACCAAACCGGAUGCGAGAAACCCUAGCCUCCAACCGUAGAACACGAUUUGAGCCGCCGUCCAAACAGAUCUGCAGAUGCUCACCGGAACAGGACCUCCGGCGAGCCUGGACGACGCGAAUCGAAACGAAAUGGUGAUCCAAGAUCCGUUUUCCAUCUCGCCACCGAAGAGCCGUUUUGAGAAGGAGGAAGAGUACCGAGCUUUCUGAUGUCGAAAGAGACUCCUUGCUCAGACGUAAAAGAGAAAGGUAGUAGGGAGUAGUUAAAGUGACCUUCGACGGUGGCUUAGCUUCGCCGGAUCUGAGCCUACCUCCCCCAUCGAACCUCUAUCCCGUGAAACCUCCAGUAUCUCCAAUCACCUUAACUAACUAUCUUCCUCUCCGAGUCCUCGCAGGGAAAUCUCCCUCUUCCACUCCACGGAGCAACACCGUCGGUAGAGCUCUUACUGUUGGUGUCUCGUAGAAGCUUCUUCCCUCUGCUGCCCCCGAUUAUUUUGGUUAGAUGGAUUAGCCGGAGAGCUGUACCGGGUCACAGAUGAAGAGCCAUGAGCGUCAGGGUUCUCAUCGUCGCCGGAAUCGACAGAGAAACCCACCGUCGGCGCAAGAGCUUGUGCUCAGAAGAAGAAGAAGAUUGGGAGAGAAAAAAUCGCCGCGAGUGAGAUCCACGGACGCGAUUUCUCUCUCGAACAGUUGUUUUGUUAUUAAAAAAGAAAAAGAGGAAAGACUUUUUUUUUUUUUAAUGUAUGAAUUUGUUUUGUUGUAAAACAAAAAAAGCCAGAUUAUUAAUCUUGGACUAAAGUGUCUUCGCCAAUGUUUAUCCUAUUUUACACCGAGUUUGAAGCGCUUUCCUGGGUAAUGAGAUCUCUCACAUUAUUAUCUAUCUUUAAUAUUGUCUUUAAGAUAGAUUGCAAGGAGCUGACUCAGCUUUUAGACACUCAUGAUGAGUGUUUCGUUUUUACUUAGGAAUUAGAAGAAUUUUACUGCUUUAAAACUUGGUUUCCCUUAGUUUUUCUUAGUUUUCAUUCCACGUUUAAACAAUGUUUGUGCUGAUUGCUUUGUUAAGAAGGCAAGAGCAUGAAAUUUUAUUUUUUUCCAUGUAAACUCUUCAACACUGAAUUGGUUUUCUCCAAAAAAACCGACCGUUUCUAGUUUGAAUGGAUGAUUUCAUUUUGCCGUAAAAAAAAAAGAUUUAGGAAAUAUGUAGGUGUGUUUGGUUAGUAGUUUAAAGAGAAUGGAGAUAAUUAAGAAAAUUAGUGUUUGGCAAAUAUGAAAAGAGAAUUUUAAAAAAAAAUGCCGAAAAAAAUUGUGAACUUAGCACAUCAGCAACCAAAACCCUAAAAGUGAAUAUUUGACUAGUUCUAAUUAGUUAUCAUAUUGUUAAUAAGUUAGCUGUUUACUUGGUAAAUAUGCAAAGUGUGUAUAUGGUUCCUUGUACAGAUUACUGUUGAAUUAGUGAGAAGAUUACUCAGCUUUAUCCUUUCUUUCUCACUUCCUCGAGCUAGAUUUGAUAGAGAACGUAUCUUUGAGCUUUUAAUCUCUCUGUUAGCUUUCUAAUAACUAGCAUAUUAUAUUUAUCCUAAGUCUUGUAUACUUUCAGUCUCUUAAUGUAAAGAAAAAACAAUUUCUUUUCAUCAUCACCAAAUUACGCACUCUCUCUGUAGCUCAAUGUAUUACAAAAAAAAAAAAUGUGAAGUGCUAUUACAAUUAUUACAAUGGGAAAAAUGUCAUUAAAAUCCCCAACUUAUUCAAAACGUUGAUUUAAAUCCUCAACUCACGACGAAACGAAAUAAAUAUCAAACUUAUGUUGACUUUCCAAAUAAAUAUUAAACUUAUGUUGACUUUCCAAAUAAACACCAAACUUUCAUUGACUUGGCCAUAUUAGGCAUGACGUUAAGUGAGUUAACAGACAAUGUUAACAGGAUUAAUUUUCUGUUAACAGACCCGCUAAUUAAAAAUGACAGUAUUGUUGAACUAUAAUCAAAUCUCAUCUAAGUCAUAUAACCUAAAAUCGUAUUCCUAUAAGUUAGUUAUUUACGUAAGAGUCACGAAUGUACGUACGUAUAGUUGUGUCUGUUCGUAAAGUUGUGUCUUUUCGAUUAACACAUGUACGUAUACGUUGUUUCGUGUUGUAUAAGUAGAUCGAGUCAAACUCAAUAACAUCAUUGUUUGUAAUACAUUUUCUCUUAUCAGUAAAAAUCAAGUUUCUUCAUAUUCUAUUUUUCAUUUUGGUUUUGUUCUUCAUACUCUGUUAAAACAGAGUUCGUUUGUUGAUCAAAACACUAACAAGUAUUCCUUCUAAACAUAAAACGACGUUGUUUUGUAUUAACUGUUCAAUAAAAUCCCGAGUUUCAAAUCAUACUCUAUUUAGGGUUAGGGAUUUUGCUCGAUUUGGGGAUCUAAGAUUGACUUUAGGGAUUUAAUUCAAUCGUUACGACAAAACGACGUCGUUUUAUUGUUAUAUGAAACAAUGUCGUUAUCAAUUAACAUAUAUGUUAACAGAAAAUUACCUCCGUUUACGAGAUCUAUUAACUCACUUAACGUCGUACCUAAUAUGGCCAGGUCAACGGAAGUUUGAUAUUUAUUUGGAAAGUCAACAUAAGUAUGAUAUUUAUUUGGAAAGUCAACAUAAGUUUGAUAUUUAUUUCGUUUUGUCAUGAGUUGAGAAUUUAGUAACCCACUUAAUGUCGUACCUAAUAUGAUCAGGUCAACGGAAGUUUGAUAUUUAUUUGGAAAGUCAAUGAAAGUUUGGUGUUUAUUUGGAAAGUCAACAAAAGUUUAAUAUUUAUUUGGAAAGUCAACAUAAGUUUGAUAUUUAUUUUGUUUCGGCAUGAAUUGAGGAUUUAAAUCAACGUUUUGAAUAAGUUGGGGAUUUUAACGACAUUUUUCCCUUAUUACAAUACACAAAAUGGUUUAAGACAUAAACGAACAGAAGAAUAUCAAAAACUAGGGUUUGUUUGGGAAUCACCAGGGAGGUCCCAAGGCUCAGACAUGAGAAAGUGGGGUCAAUGACUGUUGAAGUGAUAGUGAUUGAUGAGUACUUCAUCUGUACGUAGGAUGAUUCUAGUUCCAUGCGGCAUUUAAAACAAAAUGUUUCCAAGAAACCCCAAAGAUAUGGAAUCUUUUUUUAGAAAAUGUACAACUCUUCGAAAGAUUUGUGUCUUAGAGAGAGAUUAAGGAGGAAGUACGUAUUUACUGAUAAAGAGUCAUGACAAUUCUUGAGGUAAUGAAUACAACAAAAACGAUAACAAAUUAAUAAAAAGAAUUUGGGGGUCUAAGAAAGAAAAAUGUGAUAUUGUUUGUUACCAAAAAAAAAAAAAAGAGUAUUUUGGCAAAGUAGAUACUUUUUCAAAAGUAAUUUACAAAGUAGAUAAUUUUUUAAAAAAUUAGAGAAGUAUACACUUUUUUUUUUUGCUUUUAUGAGAUAGGGAGAUAUGUGUAAUAAAUUAAAAAACAAAAUAAGUGUCAAAUACCACUAUACCCUUUGUGUUAUGAGAGAUAGUUUUUGGUAAGGGACCACAUUUUUUUUCUUUUCUCUUCAUCAUUUUUGUUCAUUCUUUUCUUUUUUAAUUAUUAAGAUUUUUUUUAAGAUUUUUUUUUAUUUAUUUGUAUAUUUUUUUAUCACUACUUUUAGUACACCUGUAUUUUAAGCAAUGUUUUGUACACCAAACUAUUUUGUAUAAGGAUAUUUAUAUAAGAUCUCGUAAACUAUUUAAUAUAUUGAUUUGUAUAUACCAUUAAAUCGAACAUGAGAGUAUAUACCAUUAAAUUAAAGUAAUAUGAUGGUGUACAUGAUUAAUGUACACUAACAUUUGUAUACUUGUUUGUAUAUUAAUAUCGUACACUAUCAUUUAAACAUUGUUUUUCACAUUAACAUUCACGAAAAAUGGUUCUUUGUUUCUAGACGUGGUGUAUAAAAUAUGUGAAGGUGUACGAUGUUGUAGACAGUGCAAAAUAUGGUAUAUGGUGCGACCCACUAUCUCAUUGUUUCAUGUAAACCAUUAAUAUCAUGUACACCACAUUUUACAUAAUUUUCGUACACCAUCGUAUUAUGUAGUUGCACACCACUAUACAGUGUCGUACACAAUCGUAUUAUGUAGUUAUACACCACUAUAGAGUAUCAUUUGUACACCAUCUUGUACAUUGUCAUAUAUUUUAUACUACUUUUUACAUCAAUGUUAUACACUACUAUUUGUACACCACUUUUUAUAUUAUUAUGUACAUCGUCGGAUUGAGAUUAAAUAAAAGAAAGUGUUAUAUAUCUUCGAAAUAUAGCAAAAUUAGACUUUUUAGAUUUAUAUAAAAAAUUUAAAGAUUAAUAUGCGAAGUAGGUAAUUUUUUUUAUGAAGAAGUUUUAGAAAAACAAAUUAAAAUCAAAAUAUUUAAGUUCAAAGAAGAAAUAAAAAAAUAAUAUUUCGACUAUAAAGCAGUUUUGUCUUUAUCUUGCUAUAUAACAAAACAAUAUAAAUUUAUAUAAGUAAUUUAUUAAAAUUUAUAGUAGAGAGAAAAUUGUAUUAGAAAGGAAUGAGAAAAAUAUAUAUUCUUCAUAUUUUUAAAAAAAAUACCUAAUUUAAAAUUAUUUAUAGAAAAAAAUGUCUACUUACCAUAAUUUCUAAAAAAAAAAUGGAUAUUAUUGUCUGAGCCAAUGCAUCACUGGAGAUUCUCAGGUGUCUUGCGUCACAUUUUUUUUUUGUCCUCUGAAGUUUUAUUAAUAAACCAAGAGAGUUACAAGAUGAAAUACAUAUGCCCGCGGACGACAUGAAUGUCUCCAGAAACAUUUGCCCAAAAGAGGGAAACAAAGCCCUAAAGUCAGUGUUCAAGAAAGCGCUAGGCGCUAAGCGGGCGGUGACCCAGUGCCUAGCGCAUAGAACGCCUAAUCGGAACCUAGGCGAUUUUUUAGGCGGUUUAGACGUUUAUAACAUAAAACAUUAUAAAUAUGAUAUUAUAUAUAAAAGUUAUAUAAAAUAUUUAUAUAAAACUAAAAAUUAUGAAAUUAUAAACAAAAACUAAAUAAAACAUUUAUUUAUAUUUGUAUUAAACAAUAUAUGAAUAUUUAUAACUAUAUAUAUAAAUAAAACUCUAAUUAAAUUGAAAAAAUACAUUAAACAAGUUCUAUGUAAUUUUAGGCGGUCAAGACGGUUAUCUAGGCGUCGCAUGAGAGCCUAGUGCCUAGUCGGAGCCUAGGCGACCGCCUAGACCGCUUUUUAGAACACUGCCUAAAGUACAAGGAAACUGUUUAAAACAAAACAUAGAAACAAAAAUCUAAAAAGGAAACAAACGUCAUGGAGAAAGAGCAAUCUAAGCACUAUAAUUAAACAAAGGCACGAGAGACGCUCACAAAGCUUCCCUAUAGAACCUGUAAACGCCAGAAGCACCAAUAAGACCGGAUAGACCUCACACCGAAGACAAACCAGAAGCAAACCGGCAGGGAGGAAAGCUAGAAUCUAAUGCGACCAGAGACACAAAUACAACCACCAACACACCACACCAUCAAAUCAGAGAGAGCAAGAAACACUAGGGUCAAGGCAAAACCUUGAAAUCGACCGGAGACAAACCACAAAAGCUCAACAAUUCUUACACGCGGACACUCGUCGAACCAGCUUCAGCCACCUACAGACAUAAAACUGACGACGUCCUCGCAAGAGAAGAACUAGAAAACGAAUCCACUGCUUCGACUAGAACCUAACUCCAAAACUUCCAAAGGAAACUCAAAGAGAGCCUAGUAGGUGACUUAGCAACAAAAUACCAUCAAAAUGGCUCACACCAAGAACGAACCUAGAGCAAAUCGCAACCCCUAACCAGCAAGAGGAAUCAAAGGAGAGGUAGAGCAAAGAUCCAAUUUCAAAAACCACAAACAGAGCCACCUCCAUCAAUUCAAGCCUCACAGACCACAACAAAACCUAAAAGAAACAACCUGAAACAAUUCCAUCUAACCCACGGAACUAGAAGGCUGGCUCACCGGACAAGAGAAACGGACGAAACCAUGGCCAUUGAUUCGCGAAAACCUCGCCCAAUCUUACCAGAAUCGAGCACCCGCCAGAUCGACAGAUCUCAGACACCCAACAACAACUCUCAGAGGAGACGCUGACCACCGACGAAGCCAACAAGCCUCGCCGAGAAGAUUCACCGUCACAGCCAAAGGAAAGCCUUUCUCCAUCGAAAUCUAUGAGCUAAACGAUCGAAAGAACUAACAACAAUAAUGAAGAAGAAGCUAAAGGACCCUCUCACGACAAUGGCGAGGAGCACCGGCCACCGGAAAGGACAAACGAAGAUCAGAAAUUGUUGAGAGAGGUUUUCGUCAAUUAGAUUUGGGUGAGGUGCCUUGCGUCACCUAUAAAGAAGAAAAGAAAAAGAGGAAGAGCAUACAGAUGCAUCAAAUCCAAGGAGACAAUCGCAUCAAGAAAUGGACGGACAGGAUCUCAACGAGUCGUAUGUGUCCCAAGGAAACAUCACAUUUGGAAGCAUAUAUCCGCAGGCUUUAACAUCAAAUCAAAAGCCCAUUCAAUUUUCCUUCACUCUCUGUAAUCUCUAUAGUACGAAUAGUUUUACGCUUAGUGCUUUAUUCCAUAUGACAGUGCCACAUUUUGAUUAAGGAAAUAAGUAAUGGAUCUUCAAACUGUAAUUAAAUAUUUAACCAACAUGGGACUGGAGAUUUUUUUUUUUUUUUUUUUUAACUAGCCAAAAUGUCCUGGAAUACUUUGUUUUGUUUAACCUUCUAAAUGUUCAACAUAACAUAUGGGAAAGACUGCAUGAUCACACACAAGCUAUUUUAAUAUGGUUUGUUACUUGGUACCAAAAGGAGUGAUUUAUUUUUGAAAGAAAUUAAUUAUUUGGUGUUGACAGAAUCGAAAAUAAUGGCCACGUUUGAAGAGGAUAAAGAUCUGGUAAACCGCAUUAUUAAACGUUCUUUCCUCUGUCCUGCAUCUGGUCCCACUUUGUUGAUCCAAUAUUGCUGGUCAAUGCAUGGCUAGAAAAAUUAAUUUCUGGUAAAUUGUUUAUGGAAUGUUACGAAGGGUUUAUCUAUUCUGGGAUGGUAUUGCAUAAAGGAGGUUCAUGUCAUCAUGUGCAAGGCAUCCAAGUUAUAUAACUGGGUGUUUAGAGUUAGCGAUAACGUAGUCUAUCUUUCUUUUCUUUCUUUUUUCAACUUAGUCUAUUUCUUUUUAUUUGGAGUUGGAAGCGUUAGUAUGGAGUAUGGACUAUGUCUUAUAGUUUGUCUCACCAUAUUGGACGUCAAAAAAUUUCAUACGGAUAAUUCAGAUUUUUUCAGUGACAUGCGUUUUCUAGUAGUUUAAAAUCUUUGGUGAUAUAUAUUCUAUUAUAAUAAAUCACAAGUCACUUCCUAUUAUAAUAAUCACAAGUCACUUUGCAAAUAACUGUAGUUUUCUCUAUUUGACACAUGUUUUAAAUGUCAAAUUCUACUUUUUUACUUUAAAAAAAAAAAACUAAUUUACGACAAAAAGAAAAAGAAAAAAAAAAAGAAAAAUUUAAAACUGUUUUUCUUCCCAAUCCCCACGAUCUCUACAAUAUCUUUUUCAAAAAUCUUUUUGACUCAAUAUAUAUACAAAAUACUGUUACACAAAUUUGUAACUAAUUGCUAAAAAAAUACAAUUUGUUAAUCAUUUGAGUAAAAAAUAAAUUGCUACACUGAUUUGGCCGCCUAAAAUAAGAACUAUUAAACUAGCAUUUAUAUAAAGUGCUAGACUGCUAGGUACGUUUCUUUUUCCUUUUUUUUUUUUUAUUACUUUUAUUUCACGUCGUUUAAGUGUUUGAAAAACUGUCGUUUAUCUACAGUUAGAAGUAGAAAGAUAACUUUUUUCUAUUGUAAUUCAUCUCCGAUUUAAGUUUUUACCACCUUGUGGUUGACAAAAAAAUUGGUUAAAAGAAAAUGGUCUAGUGGGUGCAUGUUGUUGUGUUGAUCUUUUACUAGUUAGUUGUGAUUAAAUAAUGCUUAUUAUGCGACUUGUAGUAUCACGUAAUGAUGAAAAUUUAAAAGGGAUAGGCCGUUCCUUUUCUGGGAGAUAGUUGCAUAUAUGAUUAUCCAAAUAUAUUAGGCCUUGGUAUUUUGGGUAUCUGUUUGGGUUCGAUUUAGAUUUUCCGGAUUUUUGGAUUUAAACUAUUAAAAGUUUAAAACUUAUUCGAAUAUUUUAUACUAGAUCAUCACCCGUACUAAAGUACGGGUUAAAUUUUAUUUAUUACAAAAUUUAUAUAAUAUAUAUAUUAAAACUAAGUUUUAAUAUAUUAUAAUAGUAAGUGAAAAAAUAUUAAUUUUUUUGUCAGUCCCUAUAUACAAUAUUAGAAUAAAUAUAUAAUUUUUUCUAUAAUACUCAAUUAUGGAUAAUUUUUUUUUUAAAGAUAUGAAAACGGAAAAUAAUUUUAUUUUUUAAAAAGUAAUAUUUUUUGAACAAUGAGUUAAUUUAUGUUAACAACCACAAAAUAGGAUUGCAUAUGUUCAGUUAGAUCAAAAAUUAAAAUAUCAUAAAUGAAUCGCAUAUAAAACAUAGAUUAUUUUGAAUUAAUUAAGAAAAUUAGCUAUUAUUUUGAAUUAAUUUAGAAAAUUCUUUUUCAAUUUAUAAUUCUUUGGUUGUUGAAAUAGAGAUUUGUUUAAGCUAAUCUAAUUACAGAAUUUGUUUGAGAUUUAUAAUUACGGAAUUUACCAAUUAUUCGCAUAAUCGAAUAUGUUAUAAACAUAUAUUUAGUAUAUAAUAAUACCAAAAUCAACCCGUGCGUGGAGUCUAUAUUUUUAUUUUAGAAUCUCAAUAUUUCAUUUUAAAAUAUUGUGUGCAUAAUCUAUUAUUCGUUAAUUCUAAAAUUGCUUGCGGAAUCAAAUUUUCAAAUAUUUAGAGGUGUCAAACCAUAUUUAAAUGUUCUACAUUAUUUUUAAAUAUUUCAAAUUAAAAUCUUUAAUUUUUUUUUGUAGUUUAUAAAAUUAUGAAUUUCAAAAAACAAAUUAUAUGAAAUUAAAUAUAACUAUUCAAAUAGUUAUAAGGAUCAAAACUCAUUUCAUCGUAUAAUAUAUUAUAUUUAACCCGCUACCUAUUAUAAAUAUUUUUAAAAAUAAUCAAAUUAGAGCAUUUAUAAUUUUUAACUUUUUGAACUAUUAAGUAUUAAUGAUAUUCUCUAAAAAUAUCAAGUAAAACUUAUUUUAAAUGUUGCAAAUUAAAAUAUUUAAAUUUUUAUUGUAGUAUAUAAAAUUAUACAUUUCAAAAAAAUAAAUGUAUGAAAUCGAAUAUAAAUAUUCAAAUUCUGACCCGUUGCUCAGUCGAAAUUUUUGUUGACUUUAUUUUUUUUGCUCAGUCGGAAUUUUUGUUGACUUUAUUUUUGUGUAAAAGAAAUAUAUUACUCAACUCUCAAUUUUUGACCCGUUUAAUUGUUUCCUUUAUAGAUUAAACAAUUUAUAUGCGUUUUUAAAAAUUCAAAUCUUGGCAUAUGCAGAAAAAGAAUUACUUUUUUUUAUUAUGUAGAUGAUAUGAUUAUUUAUUUGUUUCAUAUUAAUAUAAUCAUAUUAAGAUGAGAGGUGAAGUUUAAUGAUUAAUAACAAAUUAAUAUGGUAAGUUAGAUAUCAAAUCUUAUAUGUUCAUUUUGAUUGGUCAUUUAAAAAAAAUUAAUAACAGAUUUUCGUUUUAUAAUUUAAUUAAAUUAAUUAAAUGACAUAAAUUACUAAUUUACUUGUUUAUCCUUAAUAAAUUGAAUGAAAUUUGUUCUAAAAGAAGAUUUUUGUAAUGGCAUUAUUAAGUAAAUUCUUACAAAAGAGAAGGUUAGUUAAGGGUAUCUAAUAAAGUGUACUCCCCAAAUAAUAGUAUAGGAUGUUUAGAUCAGGUUCGGAUUUGGGUAUUCAAAAUAUCAAAAAAAUUUAAAAUAUUGGUUAGAUUUGAUUUUUUUUUUGUUAAAUUUGGAUAAACAUAAGUAAAAUUUCGGAUAUUUGAGCUAUUUUGAGUAUUUUGAUCAAAAAAUAUUUGAUUUUUUUGGAUUGAUAAUUAUAUUUCAGGUUUGGUUAAAACUACGUACUUAAAAGUAUCCAAAACUAUUCCAUAUUAUGUGAAUUACUCAAAAACUCCUAUAAAGAAAAACUCAAACUAUUUAAAAGUAUUCGAAUUAACUGAAAAUAUCCGUAAUAGAACUAUUCAAACUAUUUAAAAUACUCAAAAUUUAAUGAAAUACCACAAACUAUGUAAAAAGAGUUAAUAGGUUAGUUAGGUUAGAGUUAUUUCGGGUAUCCGUUUGGAUAUUUUGUCUACCCUUAAUAUAUACUACCAUUUCUAUUUCCUGAAUAAAAACUAUGUGUCGGUUAUCAUGCCGAAAACAACACACAUUUUACUCAGUCAGAAGUUUUAAGAACCUCUAGUUACCGUUAUUUGAAACCGAAGAGUUAACGCUCUAUGAGUAAACAAUAUAUUCGGACAUAAGUGAGAUCGAAGAAUAUUUUUCUUGAUAAAAAGUUAUCAAAGAAUUCACAUAACUAGAAAAAGCAGAAACACUUUUAUUGCUGAAAAUUCCAGAGAGCAAAUCAUGUAUAUCUAAAGCCUUACCUAGUGGGAGGAGAAACGCCCAACUGAUAUUAAUAUAUUAGGAAAUAUCUCAAUGUCAAUGUGACAUAAUACAAUGUUUAUAUUAUAUCAUUGUUUGCGGCUUAAGAUUAGCAGCAUCCUAUUAUGACAUUUUUUGACUAUUUAUCGUGUCAUUAAUACGUACAACGGUACAAGUAGGAUUAUUAUGAGUAUGAAACAUUCUUCAUUUUCACUAUUUUUGAAGAAAGAAGGAUGAGAUAUCAAAGUAAUGCUCGACUUUGCAGCAACACGCGAAAGAUUUGGCGUAUAACUACGGAAAAAGUGAACAUUGAGUAAUUGUCAUUGACCAAAUAUUUUGAGUACUUAAAGUCGUCACUUUUUAAUAAAUUUCAGUUUUAAUAAUAUCCACGUGAUUACAUACAAAAAUAAAACAAUCAACAAUCAAUCCAUAAUACAUUUAUAUAUUCAAUUCGUAUUAGAAUAUAUACUGAGUUUUGUGCAAAAAAACCCUCAAAGUCGCCAAUUUUUGCAACUUUACCCUCCACCUCCAAAAAAUACAAAAUAAUCUUAUGAAGUUCAAAAUAAUAGGCAAUAUAGCCCUUAUGUAUAUAUUUUAAACGUUUUCACGAUCACAUACAAUUGAUUUUUGAAAUUUUAAAAGUAGAAUUGAACUCGUCGUCUCGAGGGCUUCGAUUUGAUAUAUUAUCUAUCAAAAUUUUAAAAACUUGACAAUAACGAAAAAGGGCUAGAUUGCUUAUUAUUUUGGACUUCAUAGGAUUAUUCUGCAUUUUUGGAGAUGGCGACUUUGAGAAUUUUUAUCGGAAAAACGGUCUAUUUCCCCACAAGAAGUAUCACAUCAUAACAGAUAGAGCCCAAUCUAUGACCACGUGCUAGAUGUCCCCGAAAAAAUACUUCUCAACUUAUAUCCCCAUAAAUUCAUAGUUCAAAUCCUAUUUUUCCCUAAAAUAAAAGUUUUCAUCUUAUUUACACACAAACAUUGGUUUUGUUCGGUUUACUGACUGCUUACCAAACUAACGAAAAUACUAAACCGGAUUAAACCUAAUCUAAACCAAUUCUGACCCGAUUACAACUAAUUGAACCCGACCCAAGCAAACCCACGUUACCCACCCAACCCAACAUCCUUCUUCACCCGUAAGCCGUAACAUACCAAUUCUUCUUCUUUCUCUCCCGUAAUCUCUCUAUGUUCAUCUUCUAGCUUCACUCGCUCCCUUCGCCAUAGCUUAACCUUCCUUCAAAAGCUGUACUUAUGAAACCUAACCUAUCUCUCUCCUCUUCCAUGGAUUUUCUUAGAUCGGCGAAUCCUAUUUCCAGUUUUUUUUUUUUUAUGUAUUUAAAUCAGAAAUUUUUGCUUCUGUGUUCACCAUUUCUCUACAAAAUUGAUGGAUCUAUUCUCGAAAUUUUGAUUACAUUGUUUCAUCGUUGUUCAACAUGUUAUCAAAAAUUCAAAUUUCAUGUGAACAUGUUAACAAAAAUUUCCUUAAUUUUCUUUUGAUGAAGAUGAAUCACUUUGCAGUUCAACCAAACGUUUUUGCUACCACAACAAUUUGAGAAGCUUUGUUGCAGUUGUUGAAAAAGAUCAAACCACCGUUAUUUGCCCAAAUCACGUCGUAUUGGUCUCCGUGACAACUACCACCACCAUCCUUCUCGAUCUCUCCGCUGUUACUUCAUGUCUGAAUUCACUUUUGGAAUCCAUCCAUUCACUCAUCAAAUUCUCAAAUACGGGCAAUGGUAUCCACUAUCCAGUACGACUCCUCUGCGAAUCAGUCCACCAUUGACGCCUGCAAUCGUCACUACACAUCGUCUUUACCAUCUGCCAUGUCGUUUUCACUUCCGGCAACGAUUUCACCGCUAAGCUCCAUCUCUGAUCUGGCGUUGUUUAUGUGACGCAGAACGCAGUUCUUCUCGGUGAAAUUACUGGCGAAUGAGCGAUUUGUGGCCAUGGAUCGAAAUUCGUGGUGAGAUUUGACGAGAAGAAGAAUGUGAUAGUGAGCUGGAAUCAGACUGGAGCUUGCUUGUGGCCAAGGCUAUCUUUGAUUUUGACGUUUUCUCAUAUCCAAUUCACCAUUUUCAUGCUUCUUGUUCAGAAAGUGUUCCGCAAAAUGUAUACGAGCAGUUGUUAGCAUUCAAUUGAAAAUUGUAUCAGAUUUUACUUGAAUUUAAAUGACCCAAAUUCAUAAUUUUUGUUUCUUGGUCUAUGUGGCAUGUUCUUAAUGAGUUUCAUGGGUUGGGUGAAGAAGAAGAAGAAAUCGGGUAGGGUUUACAUUGGAUCUGAUUUUUAAUUUGGUUAUAUUGGUUUAUGUGGUUUUCUAUCGGAUUUAAUUUGUGAACCGAUUAAACCCAUAUUUGUGGAGAAAUAUGAUUCGAACUAUGAAUUUAUGGGGAUAUAAGUUGAGAAGUAUUUUUCCGAGGACAUCUAGCACGUGGUCAUAGAUUGGGCUCUAUCUGUUAUGAUGUGAUACUUUUCGUGGGGAAAUAGACCGUUUUUCCAUUUUUAUCAUAUUAUGUAUAUAGUAUGAUAGGGUCCCUAUCAUACUAUAUUUCGUUCUUAUCAGUAAAUUGAACGUGAACCACUUGUCAAGCAAUACAUAAACAUUGCGGCUUUUGACGGAGAUCCAGAACUCGUGAUUUUUUUUUUCUUUCUCUAUACUGAUUUUUUUUUUCUGGAAUCAAAUCUCUCUACUGAUUAGGAUACUGUAAUUAAUAAAAAUAUUUUGUAAUUGUUCUCCAAAAUACAUGUUUUAAAAUCUUUUUUAUUAUUAGACUUACUUACGACUAUUAUACUAAUGUAUAUAAACAGAGAAAUCACAUGGCUUGUGGACUGUCCUGACAGUGAUUAAUUAUUAUGCCUUCCCUUAAGCAAUCAUAGCUUUGUUGAACCUUAUUUUUCUUUUAGUUGUUGCCAAAAUUAUGUAUUUUUUAACCCACUUAGAUACCUCUACUUUCACAUAAGUUUCAUUAAUAUACCUUUACUCUAUUUAUACAGUUGACUCUUUUGCUCUAUAGUUGUAACUAUUUUAUUUUGUAAUAAGUUCCAAUUUCAGCAUUAUUUUUACCAGGAAAAUCCUUAAAAGAUUCUAUGCAAAAUCCAAUAUAUUCACUUCACAUAGAUAUAAUAAAAAAAAUUAUAAAAGAUAUAAUUGAAGAAAGGCUGCCCAUGUGGGCACUUCCAAAUAAAUCUCCAGAAUCGAUGCUUCAAAUACAUUGGAUGUUUACUAAACAACAUAUAUAUGAACAAACACACCCACGAAGGAAAAUCCGAAGACCCAAUCUUUGUUAUAAAACACAACUUCUCUCUUUUUAGAAUCUCUUGUCUUCUUCUUUUUACCUUUCUUCUUUUCUUUCUUUUGUAACCUCUUGUCUGAAAACGAAAUGGAUCAUGUGAGUUCAAGCGAUUUACUUAUUGAUGAUCUUCUUGAAGAUUACUGGUUCUUUGAGAACUUAAUUACAAGAAGGUCAAGAGGCUUAAGUUAUUGUCAUUCAGAUCCUUACCCUUCUUCUUCU